rnacentral:lncRNA from 1 species
GCUAAUCAAAUUCCGUAAGGAUAUAGUUGAAUGCCGCACUGUUCCUUAUCCUCAAAUUCCCGUAGCUUUUGUCUCAGCUCUGGCUGAGGCCACCAGCAAUCGAACUUGUUUAAGCUCUUUAUGCACCAGAGCUGUUCAGGCAUCUUUUUCAAGUAAGCACAAGGGUUGAUAAUCAAGCAUUCUAGUUUUGGCAUGGCUGCAUUCCCCAUAGUCCACUCCUCUAGCCAUAGCAUUGAUUUCAGGUGCAACACCUUGAGGUUCGGAAAACCAUAAGAGCCACAAGUCAGCUUUCUACCUGAAUACGAGUUUUGCUUCAGUUUGAGCACUUGAAGAAGCGGCAGCUUUUCUAGUGUCGGCAUGGGAUCGUCCAUUAGGUCAGUAUUAGAAAAACUCAAGUGGGUUAGACUAUGAGGAAAUAGGUAUUCAGCAAGGAUGAUUUUGGAGAGCCGUGGCAUCUUGCUUUCGUUCACCAACUUCAAUGACCCGAGGCAGCUCAAUCUGCAAAUACUUUUGGACAACAAAGAUUGAUUAUAACUUAAAUCUCCCAAUAUGCAGAGAUUUCGAAGACUAGGCAGUCUGCCCAAUAUGUCUUCAGUACAGCAGCAAGGAUGCAAGGCCGAAAUGAAAUUUAGAUUUUCCAGAGAGCCACAAUAUUUUCCUGGAUGCGCAGGAAGUGUGAUUGACCCAAAAUUUAGAUGCCUGAGAUUGUUCAUCUUCCAAAAUUCAUCUGCCGUAUGAUCUAUGUAGCUAAAGGGCAUGUCUAGGGUGUAGAGGUUUAGAAGAUUGCUUAAUAAUGAUGAAGGCAGGCUUUUGAGGGAAGGGAUAUUCAACUUCAAAUAUCUCAAAAGAAAUAAAUUUUCAAUUCCGGAUGGAUAUUGGAUGAGAACAAGAGAUCCCAAAUCCAAUACUCUGAGAAGUUUGAACAUUCCACAAAAUUUCUCCCAAUCUAUGGGGUCAAAGUGGCGGGUUUCUGGAGAGAAGCACAAGAAAGAAUGCAGUUGCGAGUUGUAAUCAUCUAAGCAAGCAAAAUCACCCUCUCUUUCAACAGCGUUUAACCGUUUGGCUUUUUUUCCUGAUUCUCUAUGGAUAGAAGGGGAAAAGAUGAAUUCCACCUCAGGAGGAACUAAGAGCAACACGGGACGCCAACGGCCAGGAAUAGAGCAUGUGUUGAUAGUGCCUCCGGCUUUUCUCUUCUUUGCUUCAACAAAGCCUCCCUUGAUUAGUUGUUCUAAGUAACUCUCAGCAGUUGCCUCACUAUUGUCUGGAAUGAAACCUUCAGCUAUCCACAACUGAUAUAACUGCCUGGUGGAUAUCUCUAGGUGUGCGGCAAACACAGAUAAGUAGAGGAAACAAAGUUUCAAGCAAAAAGGUAAACUGCAACAUUUGAAGUACCGACGCGCAAAGGGUCGGCUGGUUGCUUCCGUUUUAUUUUCUUUUAAUGAGAUGCUUCCAUGAUAUAAGAUGGGGAAAGGCCAUCCUUUAUAUGUAGCUCUCAAUGGUCCUCCAGUGGGCACAAAAUCAAGCCCAAUGUUCUCUCCGUCUUCGAACUGAAAUGAGGUGACAAUCUCAAUUCGGCUGAGUGUGAUUAAUACUCUACUUCCAUUCUGAUUAUCCGGAAGUAUUUCUCGAAUAACAUCCCACAUAUCAAUUCUCCAUACAUCAUCAAUCACAAUCAAAUACCGCUUGGUCAUCAGAUAUUCAUGAAGAAUAACUUUUUUCAUUUCAUAAUUUUUAUCCAUUAUUUCACUCAACCUAGAUGAAGGCAUCAGACACUUAAUAACGAUAUCUAAUAUUUGGUCAGCAUCAUAUUCAUUUCUGUAAGGCUCUGAAAUCCAAGCGUGACAAUCAAAAUAAUGCUUCACAUAACUGCUGUUGUAAGCCUCUCCGGCGAAAGCCGUUUUGUCCAACCCAAUGCUAUCAAGUAUGGCCACCACUGAAUGCUGAGUUGGUCCCUCGAUCAAUAGAUCUAACAACUCCUCCAUUCUAUCAUCUAGGCCCACCGUGUUCCAAUUCUUAGAAGAUGAAGAUAUACCGGCUUCAGCUUCCAGAUUUUUGAAGGCAUCAAAGAUUUCGGAAUCGAUGUGCGGAACUUGUUGAGUCCGUUGUUUUAUAUCAAUGAUUCUGCUUUGGAGUCCUUGGAGAGCAUAAAAAAUGUCCUGGCUGCAGCUGCUUUGACUCUUCUGUUCACUAAUGCUGUUGAUGAAUGUGUCAAUGACCUUCUCAGAUUCAUACGUAAAGCAAUUGAUUUCGUCCAUAACGGUCGCCAGAUCUGGGUUUUCAAUUUCUCCGUGUCCUAUCUUUUCCCGCAGAAGGCAGGACGUUUCACAUUCAAAUUCACUUAGCCAAGAAGUAACGAUUUCAAUCUCGGCAUGAAGGUUCUGAACAGGUUGUUUUGCAGCAUCAGGCAACUUGACUUCUUCACCAGCUAACACCCUUCGCAGCCUCUCGGAAAAUAGUCUGAACUUGAUGUCCAUAUCUCCUCCUCUCUCUGAGUCACCCCGAAAUCAGUCCUGUAGCAUGCAAAGAAAUAAUUAAAAGAGAGAGGGGAAAAGGAAAAUAUGCUUUAAAGCUCUCAAUUCAAACAUUAGUGCUGGCUCCCGUACCUCCCUUCUCUUAGCUAGUUCUCCAGUCAAGAAGUUGAAUCAAGAUCGUUGACUCUCAAAUGAGAACAUAUCAAGGCAGAAUCUUUGUUUAAAAAAAAAAAAAAAAUCAUUGUUAAAACUUCUUAGCUCUUAAUUCAAAUAUUUAUGUGUCCGCUGAAACAUUUGUUGUUGAUGAAUGGAAUUGGUCUUAGGUUGACCGACGCAACUCUUUCUCUCAGCACUCAAGUAGUGUGAGCAUGUUAGUUUAGUCAAUAGUUUCUCCUAUACAUAAAUGAUGUUUUAUUAUAGAAUUUUGAUAAUAUGUACAAUGGGGAAGUAGCUGUAGAAAAGAGAUUGGGUUUUGGUUUAUGUGAUAUGGACUUGGAGCAUAAUAAAUUAUACAACUUGCAAUUAAAUCCAAAAUUGCAGUACUUCAUUACUUUUGUCUUCUGUGAAUAUAAAACACUGACUGUGUAAUCAUAGUACUUUUUUAAUAAGGACUAUGAUGAAAAUUAAAGACAAAUAAUGAUUUCAUGGAGUUAGUCACUGAGACACUGACUGCUAUAUCAUGAACAAGUUUUUCCGUGACUGUUUCUCGUGAAAAGGAAAUUUUUAAAAACUUUAUCAAUGCAGGUGAUGAAUAAAUAUGCUACCACUUGCAGCUAGGUUGGAGAAGAUGAGGGGAAGGUGACGCUAAUGAAUAAAUAUGCUACCACUUGCAAUUAAUAAAAUGCUAACCCUGUCUGGUAUGCUAGCUCUGUUCAUUGAAAGCAAAAGCAAUGGAAUCUUUGACCUUGCUGCCACAAGAUGAUUGUCAUGGAAGGCACCAAAGUUUCCAAGUAUGUAUGUAUAUCACACACACAUACUUGCAUGUAUGUAUAUCACAGAUAAAAUUUGUAUCCCAGGGUUAUAAAUGUGAAUUACUCACAUAAAUAUGCAUUAUUAAUCAUGUACGAUGCUCUCUUAUUUCUUCAACGAGAUUUAGAGAAAGUACUAAAUCCUUUGUAAAAUUUUAUAUUUAAUAUAUCUUCAUUUUAAAACUACAUCCAUAUCCCGCAUAAAUUUGGGGAUCAUUUUAGCAUUGUUUUUUAAGAAAUGCAAAUUGAUAAAGAGUUCUAACCGCGACAUAAGGGUGACAAAAAUAAUAGUAAAUUGUGCAAUGUUACAAUGUUAAUUCAAAAUAGUUAUAAUUUUUUAUUUAAUACGGUAAAUAAAAUUUACAGUUGUUUUGUAAUCAUUGUAUGAUUCUUUGAUUCAAAUAUCAUUAUUAUAUGAACCCUCACCUUUUUGAAAGGAUUACAUCUUAAGAAACUAUUUAUAAUUAUUUUCAUUUGAGUCAUUAGUGUUAAAAAUAUAACAAUGAAAUUAAUGAUAGUCGAAUUCCAAGUAGGAAUGACAGAAAAAUCCGGUCUAACUAGAGCAUGUUUUCUAAGUACUCUGGCUGGACUUGGACUUUGGUUUAAAAGCCCGAACCCAACCAGAAAGCCCAAAAAAUAUUGAAAAUUUUAAAAAUCUAUAUUACUUUAAUUAAAAUACAACUUUUUACAUAUAUGUAAUCCACUUAUAGCAUAUAUUUAAAGUUUUAAGUUAUUUGAACCCAACUAUUAAAGCCUAAUCUAACAAAGAAAAAACUAAAUUUUAUAAACUAUAAAAUUUGUAAAAUAUAAUGAAAAAAGUUUUUUUUUUUAAAAUACAUAAUGUAUACUUCAAGCUUUUUGGCUUGGCUUUGGAAAAAAAAAAAAAAAACCAACGUUUUGUCAUCCCAAAUUCCAAGCCUUAAAUACUUCUCCAAAUGUAUAGUACAACAUUGUAUAAUAGGACCAAUCACAUGGAGAUGAUUUGUAAAUUUUUGCACGCAAUUUUAAUAUGCACAUCAGAAGAGAGGCAGCAAUCUUAGUUGAUACUUUUAUUUGACAUAUGAUGUAAGAAAUGAAACAAAGAUUGUUGUUAACAUAAAUUAUUCUUUAUUGAUUUUGAUGAUAACAAACAUGAUUAAGAUUAAUUAAUCUUUUAAAAACUCAUCAUAAUUUUCAUCUAUUUUGACAAGUUUCAUAAAGUUUUUUUAUAAAGAUUUGGAGACAAAACAGUCAUCUUGCAAAAUAGUUCACUGCAGCAGUUUUUGUGGUAAACGGCGAUCCGACAUGUGUAAUAAACGGCUUGCCGAUUUCAAGCAGAAAUGGAGAUUAGCCUCUGGACGUAAACGGCGAUCCGACAUGAAUAAUAAACGGCUCGCCGAUUUCAAGCAGAAAUGGAGAUUAGCCUCUGGACGUAAACGGCGAUCCGACAUGUGUAAUAAACGGCUCACCGAUUUCAAGUAGAAAUGGAGAUUAGCCUCUGGACGUAAACGGCGAACCGACAUGUGUGAUAAACGGCUCGCCGAUAUCAACCAGUAGCCUCUGGACCUAAACGGCGAUCCGACAUAUAGGUAACGGCGAUCCGACAAUUUGAAAAAUCAGCCCAACGGUCAUAUUGACCAGUCAAACGGCGAUCCGACAUCUAGCUAACGGCGAUCCGACAGUGUACAGAAAGUCAAUAACGGCUAGUUUUCAGCUGCAGCUAUAAAUAAGCUCAUUCAAAUUCAAACAAAGCUUGAUCACAACACGACCAUUGAGCUAAUAUUCGAGAAUACAAUCUUCAUAGAGCUUAGAACACAUUCUUGCUUCAUCUAUUCACAAAUUAAGCAUCAUUGUGUAAUCCUAUAUAUUGUGAGAGGCAAAUCAAUUUGUAAUCUUUUACUUUGAGUGAUUGUAAGUGUUGGGAUACACUUGGGUUAAGAGAUUGGGGAUAAUCUCUUGUUGUAAAGGUUUAUUGACACCUUGGAAGUCAAGUGUAAGCAUUUGAAGCCUUGGAGGCUUGCUUAGUGAAAUCUUCAAGCCCAGUGAGCUUGGAGGAGUGGACGUAGGCGGGGAUUGCCGAACCACGUAAAAAUUAUUGUGUUUGCUCUCUCUUCCCUUACUCCUUUACUAUUGUGCUUUAUUGAAUUUAUUGUUUUUGAUUCCAUUAAGGCAUUAGAUUAAAUUGUUGUGUGAUUUGCUUAGCUUAAUUUUAAAAUCCCAAUUCACCCCCCCUCUUGGGUUGCACACUUGUAUUUCAUUUGGUAUCAGAGCCUUGUUCUCUUAUUAAGACUUAAUUGUCUAGAGUAAAAGAUCCAUGGCAACCCUAAAUGACUCAACCUUUAGAGAAGGGCAAUCUACAACUAGACCACCAUUCUUUGAUGGAAAUGACUAUGCUUAUUGGAAAACUAGAAUGAGAAUCUACUUGCAAGCCUUAGAUUAUGAAAUUUGGAAAGUUGUUUGUGACGGUUCAUUCAUGCCUAUGUUUAAAGAUGAAGUAGGAGAUGAUAUUCCUAAACCAUCAAGUCAAUGGAGUGAGUUAGAAAAGAGAAAAAUGUCUCUAAACUCCAAGGCUAUGAAUGCUUUGUUUUGUGCCCUUGAUAAGAAAGAAUUCCAUAGAGUAUCUAGUUAUGAAAGUGCAUAAGAGAUAUGGAACAAACUUGAAGUUGUCUAUGAAGGGACAAAUCAAGUAAAAGAGUCUAAAAUCAGUAGAUACACUCGUCAAUAUGAGUUGUUCCAAAUGGAACAAAAUGAAAAUGUGUAUUCUAUGUAUACUAGAUUCACGGACAUAGUGAACACCCUAGGUGCCUUAGGGAAAAUCUUCUCAAAUAGUGAGAAAGUUAAGAAAAUCAUUAGGUCACUUCCAAAAGAAUGGAGACCUAAAAGAACCGCCAUUGAAGAGGCCAAAGAUUUAAAUACUUUACCUCUUGAUGAUUUAAUUGGUUCUCUCAUUUCAUAUGAAGAGGAUUUAGCUGCAGAAAAAGGACAUGAUGAGAAGAAGAAAAGCAUUGCUCUCAAAGCUUCAAAAUAUGAGAGUGAUGGGGAGAGUGAACCAGAUGAUGAAGAGCUAGCCAUGCUAGCAAGGAGGUUCAGAAAAUUCUUCAAGAAAACCGGAGAGCGAAGAAAUUUCAGAAACUUCAAGAACCUUAGGGAGAAGAAGGAGGCAAUCACAUGCUAUGAAUGCAAGAAGCCUGGACAUAUAAGAUCAGAGUGCCCACUAAUCAACAAACUCAAGAAGAAAGCAAUGGUUGCAACUUGGGAUGAUAGUGAGGAAGAAUCAAGUGAUGAAGAAGGAUCGCAAGAAGUAUCAAACCUAGCACUCAUGGCAAUAUGAGGGAAUUAUGAUCUCAAUGAGGUAAGUGAUCCCACCUAUGAUGAAUUGUAUGAUGCUUUUAAAGAUUUACAUAAUGAGUUGAUGAAGAUUGGUAAAAAGAAUGUAUGUCUUAAAAAGGAAAUGGCAAAGCUUAAAAAUGAAAAUGAAUCUCUAAAUGCAAGAAUUGUUUGCCUAGAAGUAGGAAACAAAACAUUGCAUGAUGAAAUUGCAUUAUCAAAUGAAAAACCUAGCAUCUUACAUGAGCAUUUAGAAUCGCACAUAGAUGAGUUGAAAAAUGAGAACGAAAUGCUCAAGAAAAAGAGUAAUGAAUUGAAUGAAAUUGUUUUAAAAUUUACAAAUGGGCAAAAGAUGUUGGAUAAUAUGCUUAACUCACAAAAAUGUGUUUUUGAUAAAGGAGGACUUGGAUAUAAGCCUAACUUGAAGCAAAAGUAUUAUAAGAAUUAUUUUGUUAAAUCUACCUCCACAAAUGAUCAUAAGAUUGUAUGUCAUUAUUGUAAUCAAAAUGGUCACAUGAAAUAUAGAUGUCCCGUGAAAAGGAAUGCAUAUUAUGGUGUCAAAUGCAUUUGGGUUCCAAAAGGAACCGUUGCUAACUCUCAAGGACCCAAAAAGUUUUGGGUACCUAAAACUUGAGAUUUUUUCUUGUAGGGCUUGAAGAAGAAGAAAAAUAAAUGGUACUUGGACAGCGGUUGUUCAAGGCACAUGACCGGAAACUAUGCAUGGUUCUCAAGCUUCACCAAAAUUGAAAAUGGUGGAGACGUAUCUUUUGGAGACAACUCAAAAGGAAAAAUUCUUGGAAUUGGAAAUGUUGGUAAAGUCUCUUCAACUCUAAUUGAGAAUGUAUGUUUGGUUGAGAACUUGAAACACAACUUAAUUAGCAUUAGUCAAUUAUGUGACAAAUGUUAUAAAGUUAUCUUUGAUAAAUUUAGUUGUGUUAUUGAGAACUCAUGUGAUGGCAAAACCUUAUUUGUUGGGAAUAGAUGUGGUAAUGUUUAUAUCAUUGACAUAAAAUGUGCAUCUACUCUUGAUAAAUGUUUUUCGGCAUUGCAUGAUGAUUGUUGGUUAUGGCACAGAAGGUUAGGACAUGCAAGUAUGGAUUUGAUUUCAAAAAUUUUGAAAGAUGAUUUAGUUAAAGGUCUUCCGAAAAUUGGUUUUCAAAAGGAUAAGAUUUGUGAAGCUUGUCAAUUUGGAAAACAAAUUAAAACUUCUUUCAAGAAUAAAAACCAUAUUUCUACUUCAAAACCACUUGAACUUCUUCACAUAGAUCUUUUUGGGCCAUCUAGAUAUGCGAGUCUAAAUGGCAAAUAUUAUGCAUUUGUGAUAGUGGAUGAUUAUUCUAGAUAUACAUGGGUAUUAUUCUUAGCCAAUAAGGAUGAUGCUCUUGAUGCUUUUAAAGUGCUUUGUAAGAAAUUACAAAAUGAAAAAGUGCAUGGUAUUGUAUGCAUUAGGAGUGAUCAUGGAGGAGAAUUUGAAAAUCAUGCAUUUGAGAUUUUUUGCAAUAAUCUAGGCAUUGAGCAUCAAUUUUCAUCACCUAGAACUCCACAACAAAAUGGAGUUGUUGAGAGAAAGAAUAGGUCUAUUCAAGAAAUGGCUAGGACCAUGCUAAAUGAAAAUGCAUUACCAAAAUAUUUUUGGGCCGAAGCCGUCAACACCGCUUGUUAUGUUUUAAAUCGGGUGUUGAUUAGACCUAAUUUUAAUAAAACUCCCUAUGAGCUUUGGAAAGAUAGAAAACCCAACAUUGGAUAUUUCAAAGUUUUUGGAUGCAAAUGUUUUAUUUUAAACACAAAAGAUAAUCUUGGUAAAUUUGAUCCAAAAUCUGAUGUUGGCAUCUUUCUUGGGUAUUCAAACUCAAGUAAAGCUUAUAGAGUUUAUAAUAAAAGAACUUUAGUUGUGGAGGAGUCCAUGCAUGUUACGUUUGAUGAAUCUAACCCCUCCUCUGCGGAGAAAGGAGUUGCUAAUGAUGAUGCAGAUGGAGAGUUACAAGAAGAAUCAUCAAAAGAGAAUCAAGAGAAUGCACCACAAGAAAAUCAAGAGGAUAGACAAGAAGAACAAACAAAUAUGGAGCUGGAACAACAAGAUGGUAUUUCUCAAACACUCCCCAAGGAGUGGAGGUAUGUCUCUUCUCACCCUAAAGAUGUAAUUUUAGGAGAUCCCUCACGAGGUGUUACAACUAGAUCAUCACUUAAGAAUACUUGUGAGCAUAAUGCAUUCAUUUCUCAAAUUGAACCCAAAUCCUUUGAGGAUGCGGAAAAUGAUGAAUCUUGGAUUAUGGCAAUGCAAGAGGAAUUAAAUCAAUUUGAAAGAAACAAUGUGUGGGAAUUAGUUCCUAAACCGGAACAUCAAUCCGUCAUAGGUACUAAAUGGAUUUUUAGAAAUAAGAUGGAUGAAUCCGGUGUGGUUGUAAGGAAUAAAGCUAGAUUAGUGGCUCAAGGUUACAACCAAGAAGAAAGAAUUGAUUUUGAUGAAACUUUUGCACCCGUUGCUAGACUAGAAUCAAUUAGAAUGUUGUUGGCAUUUGCAUGUCAUAAAGAUUUCAUCUUAUUUCAAAUGGAUAUGAAAAGUGCUUUCCUAAAUGGGUAUAUUAUGGAAGAAGUGUAUGUAAAACAACUCCCUGGUUUUGAAAAUGAAAAGUUUCCAAAUCACGUUUAUAAGUUGCUUAAAACCUUGUAUGGAUUAAAACAAGCACCUAGAGCAUGGUAUGAUAGACUUAAGAAUUUCCUGUUGGUAAAUGAUUUUUCAAUGGGUAAAGCGGAUACUACUCUAUUUGUUAAGCAUAAGAACCAAGAUAUACUUAUUGUUCAAAUUUAUGUUGAUGAUAUUAUUUUUUGUUCUACUAAUGAAUUGUUGUGUAAAGAUUUUUCAUCGUGUAUGAGCAAAGAAUUUGAGAUGAGUAUGAUGGGUGAGUUGAAGUACUUUCUUGGACUUCAAAUCAAACAAAACGAGGAAGGAAUUUUCAUAAAUCAAGCCAAGUACGUAAAAGAUCUACUCAAACGAUUAAGCAUUGAUAACUCAAAGACCAAAAAUACACCAAUGAGCACAACAACCAAGCUGGACAAAAAUGAAAAAGGCAAAGAAGUGGAUAUCAAAAUGUAUCGAGGUAUGAUCGGAUCCCUACUUUAUUUGACUGCAAGUAGACCCGAUAUCAUGUUUAGUGUAUGUUUGUGUGCAAGAUUUCAGUCUUGUCCCAAGGAAUCUCAUUUGCUUGCUAUUAAAAGAAUUUUCCGUUAUUUGAGUGGAACCAUAGAUAUUUGCCUUUGGUAUCCUAGGGGAACUCAUAUAGAUUUAACAUGUUAUUCGGAUGCGGACUUUGCCGGUUAUAAAGUGGAUAGGAAGAGCACUAGUGGUACUUGCUAUAUUCUAGGACACUCUUUUGUUUCAUGGUUUAGCAAGAAACAAAAUUCUGUCGCACUUUCAACUACCGAGGCUGAAUAUAUAGCUGCCGGAAGUUGUUGUGCACAAGCACUUUGGAUGAAACAAACACUUAGAGAUUAUGGCAUUAAUCUUGAACAAAUUCCUAUUAAGUGUGAUAAUACUAGUGCUAUUAAUCUUUCAAAGAAUCCCAUUCAACACUCUCGAACCAAGCAUAUAGAAAUAAGACAUCAUUUCUUGAGAGAUCAUGUUCAAAAGAGAGACAUUGCAUUAGAGUUUAUUUCUACGGAAAAACAACUUGCCGAUAUUUUUACAAAACCACUUUGCGAAGAACAAUUUUCCAAAAUUCGGCAUGAACUUGGGAUGAUGAAAUUUUCACAUUAACAGCUUUAUUCAUGCUAUUGAGUCUAUUAACAUUGAUUGAUCUAUGCCUUGAUGCUUUAAUAUCUAUGGAAUGCUCAAUCGCAAUAUACAUGUGAUGUGUAUGGACAUUUGAAAAUGUAUGAAUUAAUUGUUGCAAUACAUAUUUAUAUUCAUGAAUUAUGCAUUGAACUGGCACUCAAAUCAUUUUGGAUCAAUAAAAUGAUCUUGAAAUGUAUUAAUAAGUAGCCAAAUAUCAAAAUAAAUGUGCGAAAUCAUAAGUUGUAGAAAACGGAUUGCCGUUAUUUCAAUAAACGGCUAACCGUUUUGGGCAGAAAUAAUGGAAAGUUUUCUGGGCGCUAUCGGUUCGCCGAUAACUAUCUAUCGACUCGCCGUCCUGAUACAAAAUUUUGAGGAGACUCCCUGGACCCUAUCGGCUCGCCGUUUUGAUGAAAUUUUUUUGGAGGACACUCUGGACUUUGUCGGCUCACCGUUUUCUCUAUAACGGCUCGCCGUUAUCACGCGUUAAUUGAACAGUCUUUCGUCUUCCUCCUCAUUUCGGUUUCUCUUUCUCUCUCUCUCUCACUUCAACCCGCGACUGCACCAGUUCUCUCCUCUCAAAUCCAUCACUUUUCUUGUCAUUUUUCACCAAAUUGCAGCAUUACAAACCAUUUCUAUCAUCUCUAGCACCUUUUAACAGAUUCAAAUCCUUCUUUUUCUUCAAAUUUUGAAAAAUCUCAUCUUGAAACCCUAGAACCAGCCGAAUCUCAUUUGUUCAUUUUGACCCAAAUUUCUUCAUUUUUCCAACUACAUUUCCACCUACAAUCACUAUCUCACACUUCGUUUCCACAUAUUUUUUUUAUCUCAUCUAUGGCGGAACGACCCCAAAGGCGUGCUCAAACCAAGCACACUGCUCCGCGACGUUCUAGUCCCCCCAGGUCUCCUCCUCAAGACUUCGAGAGUCUUCAUUUUUCUGAUGCCACCUCUGCUCAGCGAUUUCGUGAGAAAUUCAUGGGUAAACCCAUAAGUCAUUCCUCGCGCCUAUUUCUUUUUUAUGAUGAAGGGGGAGAUAAUUGGCAUUAGCAUUAUUUUUUUUCUUUUCUUUCUUCUAAUCAAUCUGUUUUAAACUUGUUUGAGAUUAAAAUUAAAUGAACUCUUUUUUAAGGGAAGUUAACAAGUCUUUCAAAAUCUCACAUAGGGGGAGCACAUAUUUAGGGGGAGCAAAAGUGCACAAGUAUUUUCUUGAAAAGUUUGUCAUCAUAAAAAAGGGAGAGAUUGUUAACAUAAAUUAUUCUUUAUUGAUUUUGAUGAUAACAAACAUGAUUAAGAUUAAUUAAUCUUUUAAAAGCUCAUCAUAAUUUUCAUCUAUUUUGACAAGUUUCAUAAAGUUUUUUUAUAAAGAUUUGGAGACAAAACAGUCAUCUUGCAAAAUAGUUCACUGCAGCAGUUUUUAUGGUAAACGGCGAUCCGACAUGUGUAAUAAACGGCUCGCCGAUUUCAAGCAGAAAUGGAGAUUAGCCUCUGGACGUAAACGGCGAUCCGACAUGUGUAAUAAACGGCUCGCCGAUUUCAAGCAGAAAUGGAGAUUAGCCUCUGGACGUAAACGACGAUCCGACAUGUGUAAUAAACGGCUCACCGAUUUCAAGCAGAAAUGGAGAUUAGUCUCUGGAUGUAAACAGCGAACCGACAUGUGUGAUAAACGGCUCGCCGAUAUCAACCAGUAGCCUCUGGACCUAAACGGCGAUCCGACAUAUAGGUAACGGCGAUCCGACAAUUUGAAAAAUCAGCCCAACGGUCAUAUUGACCAGUCAAACGGCGAUCCGACAUCUAGCUAACGGCGAUCCGACAGUGUGCAGAAAGUCAAUAACGGCUAGUUUUCAGCUGCAGCUAUAAAUAAGCUCAUUCAAAUUCAAACAAAGCUUGAUCACAACACGACCAUUGAGCUAAUAUUCGAGAAUACAAUCUUCAUAGAGCUUAGAACACAUUCUUGCUUCAUCUAUUCACAAAUUAAGCAUCAUUGUGUAAUCCUAUAUAUUGUGAGAGGCAAAUCAAUUUGUAAUCUUUUACUUUGAGUGAUUGUAAGUGUUGGGAUACACUUGGGUUAAGAGAUUGGGGAUAAUCUCUUGUUGUAAAGGUUUAUUGACACCUUGGAAGUCAAGUGUAAGCAUUUGAAGCCUUGGAGGCUUGCUUAGUGAAAUCCUCAAGCCCGGUGAGCUUGGAGGCGUGGACGUAGGCGGGGAUUGCCGAACCACGUAAAAAUUAUUGUGUUUGCUCUCUCUUCCCUUACUCCUUUACUAAUGUGCUUUAUUGAAUUUAUUGUUUUUGAUUCCAUUAAGGCAUUAGAUUAAAUUGUUGUGUGAUUUGCUUAGCUUAAUUUUAAAAUCCCAAUUCACCCCCCCUAUUGGGUUGCACACUUGUAUUUCAAUUGUAACAUUACAAAUUUUGCAAUUCAGCAUCCAAAAUAUCACUAGAACUUGCAAUACAAGCUUUAAUCUCUUCAACAACACGUAGAAUUGCGGCCAGGAACACAAACGAAAAUAUAGUUAAUUAUGCAUGCAUUAAAAAGAUGAGGAAGAGAAGAUUAAGGAACAACAUGAGGCCACCAAGAGAGUGAUGAAAAAUGUGGAUUUAAGUUUAAGUUCCACAAUGUUUACGUAAGCAAAAGUACAAAACUGAGAGUCUGAGGAUAAUGAUAUUAUUAAAUUUAAUAUGGGUUUGGUUCGUUUAGAUUCAUGAGUUUCUCUAGACAGUAUAUAUGGGGGGGCCAAAACUACUUUGCAUCGUAGGUUUUGUACACCACUCAUUUGUCAUUUACCAAAGUCACCAUUGGAUUUUAUGUGAUGGCUAGAAAAGAAACACAUAGAGAAAUAGGAGUAACUAGAGAAACAAAUAAUGAGCCAGUCACCUAGAUUGGUAAUUGAGCAUAGGGAAAUUAAAAAAAUUAACCUAAAUAUUUUUGAAUUAUUGGCUACUUCCAGAAAAAAUCUAAACCAGCAGUUUUUGAUCAAGCAAAUAAAUUAAUGGCAACAACAACGGCUAAUCGAUGCAGCGACGACAAUAGCUACUUCCGGCAAGAGUGGCCUCUUUAAUUUGAGUUAGUUCGCUGAGUUUAUGUCCAAAUUCUUAAAUGGAUAAUGGAUUUAUUGUUUUAGUACUAAUUGUUGAUGAUUAUAGGUUAGAUCUUGUUGAGCGAUUAGUUUUGUAACAUUAAGCUUGAAUUGGGAAUGAAAAUUGAUAAAAUGCUUAUGGAAAUAAGUUUGUUAAAUAUGGCAAUACAAAUGUUUGCUAAAUGCAUCAAAGAAUACAAUUUGUUGUUUAGGCUUAAUUUUGCUAUUAUUUUACUUGAAUGAAUAUUUAAGAAGGUUGCAACUAGUAUUGUCACUUGAAUAUAGGCAAUGGUAUGGUGUUAUAGGUGAUUAUGAGCAAAAGGUGUUUGUCACGAUAACCUUACAAGUGAAAACCUUCUUUUUCUCAAACAAAACCCAGAUUAAGAAGAUUCAAUACUUCAUCAUAACUAUCAGAAAACAAUAUCAAGACAAUAAUGCCAAGAACCAUUGUCUGUAAACUUUAUCCAUUGGAAAAAUCGUAAAUUAUGCUUACACGUACAAAUUUUUUUUUUUCGAUUUACAGGUGCUACGCCUUCAGCCGGUUACUCGUUUUCCAAAUGUUAAAUCUCAGUUGUUAGAUACAUUUCUUCACAAUCUAACGGCUCAUUCGCUAUAAGACAAAGGACUAGGGUACCAAACUCAUGACGCAAGAUAGCUGGAUCCUAUAUGGAGGAAAUUUAAUCCAUUUGACAACUAAAAAAUUCAGAAAUCAGACCUCGAUUUGACAACUUAGAAAUUAAACAAUUAAAUUUGUUCCAUAUGCAUGCAGAAAAUUAGAUGUAUGUAACUUGUCAUAUGCUAUAUAUAUUCUAUUAGGUGGAAGAUUUUCUACUUCAUUUGUAUGAAAUAUAUGGUAUCAAUCAAUAAAUUCUUAUUUUGUUAUAUAUACUAAUAGUAUCUUAUAGUAAACUAAGAAAUAUUAACGACCUUCUAGUGUGUUUUUGAGUUGUAAAAUAUUUUUUUAAAAAAAAUUGAGUUGUAAAGUCUAGUUAACUAUUUUGUGUUCCAUUACAGGUAUUAUGAAAGGUUUUUUAAGUUUUUAGAUGUUUUUUGACCCAUUUGUCAAUAAGUGAAACUAUUAGCACCACUUUAAACUCCUCAUAAAACCUUUCUUCUAAAAAUACACCAUUAAAAACAUAUGUAAAUCACAGUACUUUUAACAACACCUAUGUUAAUUCCACAAAUAACCUUAUAUAUUCUUUUUUCUUAAAAAAUCAUAUGAAAACAAAAAUCUUUUAUUACAAAACCUUUUCACCAAUUUAAUCUGAAGCCCUUGUUCGGUCCAUGAGAAUCAACUUUUCAAUUUAGAAUUGUUUGAGCUUCUUUUUCCAACUUUUUAUUCUUAUUCUUAUAUAUAAAUGAGAUUCUUAUAAUAUAUAAUUCAUUUUAUUACUUUAUUUUAUCAUUCCAUGGGAAAAGAUAUCAAAAUAUUACUAUGAAGUAAGUUAAACUAGUAGAAAGUAGAAUCUAAAAACUAGAUAAGAAAUAUUCUAGGCCAUCCUCUUGAGUGGAUCUAUUUUAAUUCCACGAACGUCCUUGUACACUUCUUUCUCACGAACUUUACUAUGAGAGAGAGAAAAAAGAAUUAAAUAAAUAUUUCUUUUAUACUAAAAAAGAUUGUUUGAAGCUAAUCCAAUAUUAUUUUAUACUCUGAAUGUGACAAUUCAUAUACUUUUAUAUGAACACGUAAAUCGAUAAAAUCAAGGGAACAAGUAGCCAUAAAAAAAAUAAGUCUUUCAUAAUUUGAAAAUAAUGAACUAAAAUUUCAGUCCAACAGAAACCGCUAAUUUAAGAAUAAAAAUAAAAAUAAAAAACAUUUUCACUAAAACAACAAAAUUAUCUUUUAUUUAAUAAAAAUAAAACCCAUGUGGGGUUAGAGGAAGAGAGAUGAAUUGUCAAACGUGAUUUGAUUAAAGUUAAAAAUAUAAAUUUAAGAUAUAAGAAUUCUUUUGGAGGUGCCAAUAGCUCCACUCUAUUCUCUUUUUGUAGUUCUGCAAGUUUUAAACACAUGGUUCUAUGAAGGUCUUAGAGGGUGCCGAUAGCUUUCAUUAAUGUGCAUAUAUGUUAAACAAUAUCGAAUUAUUAGAUGGACCUUACUACCUUACAGAUUCUGUGAGGUACACCUCUCUAAUAAGAAUGGAGCGUGGCUCACUUAAGACCACCUUUAUUUUACUUAUUUUGGAUGGACGUACCUUACAAAAUCUAGGUACCGUCUUCUUAUUUGAUCCAACGUAAUCAAACAAUCUAAUCUAAUUGACUUGCCGCUUUAUGUUAAUAUAUAAUUAUGUUUUCUUUCAAUUGUUCUAAUAGUUGAGAGUUUUAUCUGGAAGAUAGCUCGAAAAUCAGCACUAAUUCCUACUCAGAAGGGAGGGGAAAUAAAUUGUGAUAGAAAAUAAAUUAUUUGAGUGCUCUGUGAGUCGAAGACCCACUCUCAGAUAAACAACUAUCUUUGUAAAGCAGAGCAGAAUUCAGAAAUGUCAUUCUUCUCAUUGGGUCAUUUCUUCAAACGUCCUCUGUACAAACAGCUCACCCGCCAUCAUAAUCUAUUUCCAUUCAUAAAUCAAAAACCCAGAACCCAAUCAACAGCACCCUCUUCCGUUCUCAUAAAAGUUUCAGCCCGUUCUUCUUAUCUCUCAGUUCGCAUUUGCUGUCAAAAACAUGCGUUAGUGAGUUUCACUUUUUUUACUUGUCUGUGUUUUUAAGCAUUUUGAAUUAGUAAUUAUUUGGCAUUAAAAUUGAGGUGCCUUAACUUGUGUUGUCAGGAUAUGUUUUCUGAAGCUCUUCUAUGUUUCGGUGCAAGUUCUACAAGCGUGGAUGAACAUGAUAAUGAUGCUGAUGAGAAUUCUGAUGAGGUUGAAACUUUAUAUUUUAAUUUCUUCUUUUUUCUUUUCUUUGAUUAUUGAUUCAUGUCUUGUAAAGGAUCUUGAGAGCAACAAUAAACAAGAAAUGAAACUCAUAUCCCAUUUGCAAAUUGGCUUCUAUUUGUGUUAAAAAUGUGCUUCUAAUUUCCAAUGUAAUGUUACCAGUUGGCCUUAGAUUUUUGUUGACUUUGUUGGUUCACUUGCUAGAAAGGUAGCAAGAGGAAAAAAUUAAUAAUAAUACUAAAUAAGCACAAAAUUUUCAAUGUUUGUUAUGGAAUUGAAAAUUGUCUUCUUUCUGUGUUAAAAGAGUGCCUCGAAAACGCCAUUAUAAUGUUACUAGUUGGUCUUAGAUUUUGUUGAAUGUAGAGUGGCUUCUGAAUAAAACCUACAGUUGUUUUAAAUAUUACUUACAGAUUGCUUUUAUGCAGAUCUAUAUUGAUUCCAUAUUUCCUGAAUGCGAAGACGUGGAUGAGUGCAUAUUAAAUGCUGCUAAUUCCAUAGGCUUGAAAGAGACACCGCGCUAUGAAGUUAAAAUGGGCGAGCAAUGCAACUGGAUAAAGAAAACUCAGGUUUGUUUGCUCUCCUUUUUCUCUCUAUCACAACGGUAUACUUGGAAUUAUUGUUAUGUCAAUUUGAUUCUCUUUUCUUACAUGUUGCAGGAGUCAUUUCCUCCCGUUGAGGUGACAAAAUGACUAUGGAUUGUGCCCGAGUGGAGUACACCACCAGUAUGAUUAUCUCACUCCCUUGGGAGGUUUUGUUGCAGUAAUUUCUCAUAUUUUAUAGGGUACCCUCUUCUUCAUUGCUUCUGUAGAAGUCAUAUAAGCUAGUUGCUUCCGAAUCUUUAAAUUUAUUCAAUGAGGAACCUUCGUUUGGAAAAUUGAUUUUCAUCUGAUCCAAGAAGGUUGCUUUGAAGGAGAGAGCUUACGAAAUGCAGCAAGCAAAAUCAUAACUACAAAGCAGUAGACUAAUUGUUAGCUGACUCUAAGCAAAGGCAACAUUCAUAAAAGAUGACGAAGAGUUUCUAAUAUUUACCAAUAUAACUUAUACCAAGUGCACAGAAUAGAGCCAUCUGAACAUUCAGGAGCAUAAGAACAACCAAUGUAGCUGCAAAGAUGAGAUGUAAUUACUACUGUGAAGACGAGGAAAGAAUUCCAUUAUUUAUCAACAGCUAGACUGUAGUAUAAUGGAAAGACUUGCUAAGGAAAGUUUAAAGCAACACUCAUCCAGAGAAGGCAAGAACAAGUAUAGAAGCAAAAGUGCACACAUUCAUAUAUAGGGGUAACGAGUAAUGUAUCAUAAAUCACUUGCUCUAGCUCAGUAAAAAAAAAAACAACGCAAAAUUGCAAAUUCAUAGUGUUGUUAUUUAUCAAUUGGAACCCAGAAAAAAAAAAUCUGUAACUUAAUUAUUCAUUUAAGCAGAUUGAAACCCUUACAAACACAGGUAAGCAAAUCAAAAUUAUCAUUAAAAAUCCAAUCAAGGCCACAUAAAUCUAAUCACAUCCAAAAGCAUCCCAAAAUCUCGUUCAAAAUUCAUAUACCCACAUACAAAAACCAUUCAAAAAUUUAAUGCUAAAUUUAAACCCAAAUCUGUUGCGUAAUUGCAUUGUACACGUAAUUACUUUAUCUUGAUAACGCCCCCACAAGCAUUCUGCAAAAGGGGAAAUCAAAUACUUAAAACUAUUAUAGAAACUUGAAAGAGCAAGUCUUAGAUUGACUUGAAUUUGAACCAAGAGGCAACACAAACAAACGCGUUCAAGCAAAUGCAAAACCAACGAAACCCCAAUCAUCAAGUGGUCCAUUGAUAAAUAAAAUCCAAUUACAUCGACUGCGCUGCCAAAAUUUUAUUAAAGAAAACGGAUCCCGUGCUCAGCUGAGCUUGUGCUGAGCACCGGAUCAAUGGUCAAUAAUUAUUUAAGACCCACGUAAGAUAAUUGCUGAGCAUUGAUUCGGUACUCAACACAAGCUCAGUUGAGCACUGUUUAUAAAAAAAAAUAAAAGCGGCAUCAGCAUGUGCUUUGAUUGAAUGCCUUGAGAACACGUAAGCAUCACCCAAAUUAUUAUUUACACAUGCUUGCGUGAUCCAAUUGCAUGCCAGAAAAUACAAAGAAUGAAUCUUGGUGAAAAUUUCCUAUCCACUAAAGGGUGCGUUUGCAAAUCUCAAAAUCGGUGGGGGAAGUGCGGCGGUGUGGCGGGCUAUAGCCAGACAGAGCCAGAGAAUCUGAAGCAAAACACCAAAAAUCUUGCCCUGGAAAUGACUCAGCAAGAAUACUUCGGUAUUAUAUGCUAAAUUUUUUUAAAGAAUUUUCUUUUAGUAUUGUUUUGAGAAAAUAAAUAAAGGUAGUCAAUUUAAUAUGCUUAAGAAUUUUUAGUAUUUUAAAGACUGGACAAAGCAUAACUUACUUUUUAAAUUUAAUAGAUAAGUGUCUAGAAUAAUAGCGUAUUUAAAGUAAUUAUUAGAGUGCAAAUAGUCAUAUCCAAUACUUCAACUUAUAAUGGUUGGUUGUUGUUUUCACUGAAUUUUCAGAUUUGAAUUGAAUCAAUUACUAGUUGUGUGGUUGGAGCUCAAGAGAGAUGAAGAUAAAAAAAAAAAAGGAGUUCUUCUUUUAUCCCUUUUAAGUGAAUAUAUUUAGGUUGGGUUAAUGUGUACCAUAGUCCAUAGGGCACUUUCAUCUUUUCUGUCAUAUGACACCUCUUUACUCAAAUGUCAAAUGGGCUUGCUCAUCAAGCUUUGGUAUUCAUCAUUUGGAUCCUUGAUCACGUGACGCUUGUUGACUAGGCAGCCUUGUUGCCUUAAUUUCCUAUUGUUUUCUUGUUCUCAGGCUGGAAGACAUUAUUUUUUCUUGUUAUCUCUUAGCUUAUUCCAUAUUUGUCCUUCUAAGUGAGCUAAUUUUACCAAAACUAUCAUUUUCCUUGAUUGGCUCAUGUAGGACAGUUGAUGUGUUAUUUUUUCCACCAAUCAUCUUCUUAUUUAUUAUUCUUGUACCACAUGUCAGCUUUCAACUAGUCCAUAAAUAUCCUUCCAAAUUUACCUCCAAACAAAUCUAAUAACCUCUUGAAAACGAAAAAUUAAAAAUUUAUUCAAUCAUUCAAUGUUAAGGAAAUUGGCCAAGUAAUGGAAUGCUAACAAACCAAAUUAAAUUUCUACACUUGCUCUUUUUCUUUGGCCUAUACCAAAUUUCAUCACUUAAUUUUCCUUUAAUUAAAUAAAACAAAUACAUUAUAACUGCUUACUAUUUACAUCUGAAUAGAGCAAUAAAGACUGGUUAUUAAAGACCGGUUAUUAAACGGAUAUGGAUGAAAAUGGUGUUAAAACAUGGCAUAUGGUAGCAAUAAAAAAGGCGCUUGCAGGAUAUAUUCAAGCAAAUUGGUUUGAGUAACCACAAACAAAAAGGCCUCGCAAGUGAUAAGUUCCUCCUUUGCCCACUCAAAUGCAUUACAUAAUGUCGCAGUACAUUUUAUUUAUGCAAAUACGUAUAUAUAUGCAUAUCUUGAUAACUAUUUUAACAUGUGAUCUAAUAUAGAACAUAAUUUAAUAGAGUAUACUCCCUGAAUUUCGCUCUGAAUUUUUUUAUAAUUGAUUUGUUAUAAAUUUGAACGAGGGAUUGCAAUUAUACCUUCUUGAAGUUUAUAGAUGUUUUCAUGCAUGCUCCACGAAAAAUAUUUGAUGUCGUGCUAAUGCUCACUGCAAAGCAUAUACCGUAGGCUAUGCUAUAGCUAUAUAAAAACUUAUACUUGCUUUCUCGAAUGCACACACUUGCACACAAAAUUUUACCAGACGUGGUUUCAAUUUAUUGAACCAUUAGAGGGACACAUCAGUAGUCACCAAAAUGCCACUCUAAAUGGCAAUUCUCGUAAUCAUUUUGCUGUCGCUCUUCAUUCCAGUCCCAAGUACACAGCCCAAACUUCAAUUUUCUCUGGGAAGGUAAUGAAGCGUGGCUCAGUCUCAGUAAUAUGUCUUCCAUAUUCCAUGGAAUGAGCCAAAGGAGUAAUACUUCUAUAGUUAGAAGCAACUAGCAAUCAUAUUGAAGGAAUUUUCUGUAUCAGAUAAAGAAAGAGCAGCAGAGAACAAAGCUGUUAAUCAAUCAACACAUGUACAGCAGUAUUAGUAUUUCUGCCUUAUUGUAGUGCCUAAUUGGGUAUUAGGAUUUCUCCUCAAGAACGUUUACUAAGACAUUCAGCCAAGUAUGAAGUUCAUCAAUAAUCAAUCUUUUCGGUAAAUAAACGAAACAUAUUGAGUGCCAAACUUGCCCAGCCUUUGAAACAGAAUUUCAGAGCAAGCAACAGAACAAAGUCAGAAAAUACAUUCAACUGAACCCAACACCAGAAAGCAUAACAAAUAUUAUUUAUUUUUUGUACACAAUUAACGAACCGCCCCUGAAGCACAAAUCAAUGAACUCUCAACUGAAAAUCCGAAACGAAAGUUCUUAUUUAUGAGUACACAGCGGAAACAAAGACACCAAAAAAAAGUGCACCACCGUAGGAUCAGGAUUUGUAUGUGUAGACAGCAAAAGUGAAGACGGAAAGGAUUCUGGUUGAAAUUGAAGCUCGGGCUGCAGUCAUGAUGUUUUCUGCUCUGAUUUCACCUACACAAGUCAUUAAAGAAAUUAUGAAAAAUAAGAAUUUUAAAUUACAUUUUUUUUCCUUAACUAUUAAAACAAAUGAACGCUGAUGUCUGCUAGGCUCAUGGUUGAAUGUGGAAGAGUACUUAAGUCUCCACUGCUGCUAAAGAGGGCUUGAUGAUUGGGGUGAGUAUCGGAAACUCUAAAGGGUACUUAAUGUUUAGACAAAUUGGAAGAAAACACUUUGUAUAACCAUUUUUAUACUAAAGAGAAGGGGAACAAAAAGUAUAUGCAAUUGGAUAAGUAAUUAAAAUUUGAAGAAAUUGGGUAAAACGAGAAACAUACAUCAAACUCAAUAGGGGCUAAUCAAAUUCCGUAAGGAUAAAGCUGAACGCCAUACUGCUCCUUAUCCUUGAAUUCCCGUAGCUUUUGUCUUAGCUCUGGCUGAGGCCACCAGCAAUCGAACUUGUUUAAGCUCUUUAUGCCCCAGAGCUGUUCAGGCAUCUUUUUCAAGUAAGCACAAGGGUUGAUAAUCAAGCAUUCUAGUUUUGGCAUGGCUCCAAUCCCCAUAGUCCACUCCCCUAGCCAUAGCAUUGAUUUCAGGUGCAAUACCUUGAGAUUUGGAAAACCAUCAGAGCCACAAGUCAGCUUCCUACCUGAAUACGAAUUUUGCUUCAGUUUGAGCACUUGAAGAAGCGGCAGCUUUUCUAGUGUCGGCAUGGGAUCAUCCAUUAGGUCAGUAUUAGAAAAACUCAAGUGGGUUAGACUAUGAGGAAAUAGGUAUUCAGCAAGGACGAUUUUGGAGAGCCGUGGCAUCUUGCUUUCAUUCGCCAGCUUCAAUGACUUGAGAAAGCUCAAUCUGCAGAGACUUUUGGAAAACAAAGAUUGAUUAUAACUUAAAUCUCCCCGUAUUCGGAGAUUUUGAAGAUUAGGUAGCCUGCCCAAUAUAUCUUCAGUACAGCAGCAAGGAUGCAAGGCCGAAAUGAAAUUUAGAUUUUCCAGAGAGCCACAAUAUUUUCCUGGAUGCGCAGGAAGUGUGAUUGACCCAAAAUUUAGAUGCCUGAGUUUGUUCAUCUUCCAAAAUUCAUCUGCUGUAUGAUCUAUGUAGCUAAAGGGCAUGUCUAGGGUGUAGAGGUUUAGAAGAUUGCUUAAUAAUGAGGAAGGCAGGCUUUUGAGGGAAGGGAUAUUCAACUUCAAAUAUCUCAAAAGAAAUAAAUUUUCAAUUUCGGAUGGAUAUUGGUUGAGAACAAGAGAUCCCAAGUCCAAUAUUCUGAGAAGUUUGAACAUUCCACAAAUUUUCUCCCAAUCUAUGGGGUCAAAGUGGCAGCUUUCUGGAGAGCAGCACAAUAAAGAAUGCAGUUGCGAGUCAUAAUCAUCUAAGCAAUCAAAAUCACCCUCUCUUUCAACAGCGUUUAACCGUUUGGCUCUUUUUCCUGAUUCACUAUCGAUGGAAGGGGAAAAGAUGAAUUCCACCUCAGAAGAAACUGUGAACAACACGGGACGCCAACGACCAGGAAUAGAGCAUGUGUUGAUAGUGCCUCCGGCUUUUCUCUUCUUUGCUUCAACAAAGCCUUCCUUGAUAAGUUGUUCCAAGUAACUCUCAGCAGUUGCCUCACUAUUGUCUGGAAUGAAACCUUCAGCUAUCCACAACUGAUAUAACUGCCUGGUGGAUAUCUCUAGGUGUACGGGAAACACAGAUAAGUAGAUAAAACAAGGUUUCAAGCAAAACGGUAACAUGCAACAUUUGAAGUACCGAAGCACAAGGGGUAUCUCCACUGCUUCCCCUAUAUUUUCUUCUAAUGAGAUGCUUCCAUGAUAUAAGAUGAGGAAAGGCCAUCCUUGGUAUGUAGCUCUCAAUGGUCCUCCAGUGGGCACUAAAUCAAGCCGAAUGUUCUCUCCGUCUUCGAGCUGAAAUGAGGUGACCAUCUUAAUUUCAGUGAGUGUUAUUAAUACUCUACUUCUAUUCUGAUUAUCCGGGAGUAUUUCUCGAAUAAUAGCCCAUACUUCAAUGUUCCACACAUCAUCAAUCACAAUCAAAUACUGCUUGGUCAUUAGAUAUUCAUGAAGAAUAAUUUUUUUCAUUUCAUAAUUUUUAUCCUUCAUUUCACUCAACCUAGAUGAAGGCAUCAGAAACUUAAUAAUGAUAUCUAAUAUUUGGUCAGCAUCAUAUUCAUUGCUGUAAGGUUCUGUAAUCCAAGCGUGACAAUCAAAAUAAUGCUUCACAUAACUGCUGUUGUAAGCCUCUCCGGCGAAAGCCGUCUUGUCCAACCCAAUGCUAUCAAGUAUGGCCACCACUGAAAGCUGAGGUGGUCCCUCAAUCAAUAGAUCUAACAACUCCUCCAUUCUAUCAUCUAGACCCACCGUGUCCCUACUUUUAGAAGAUGAAGAUAUACCUGCUUCAGCUUUAAAAGUUUUGAUGCGAUCAAUGAUUUCGGAAUCCAUGUGCUUAAGUUGUUGCAUUCGUUGCUUAAUAUCAGUGAUUCUGCUUUGGAGUCCUUGCAGAGCAUCAAAAAUGUCCUUGCUGCCGCUGCUUUGACUCUUCUGUUGAGUGAUGCUGUUGAUGAAUGUGUCAAUGACCCUCUCAGAUUCAUACGUAAAGCAAUUGAUUUCAUCCAUAACGGUCGCCAGAUCUGGGUUUUCAAUUUCAUCUUCUCCGAUCUUUUCCAACAUAAGCAAGGAAGUUUCAUCUUCAAAUUCACUCAGCCAAGAAGUAACGAUUUCAACCUCCGCAUGAAGGUUGUGAAUAGGUAGUUUUGCAGCAUCAGGCAACGUGACUUCUUCACCAGCUAACACCCUUCUCAGCCUCUCUGAAAAUAGUCUGAAGUUGAUGUCCAUAUCUCCUCCUCUCUCAGAUUCACCCCGAAAUCAGUCCUAUAAAAGGACAUCGUCAAGAAGUUGAAUAUGCUUUAAAGCUCGCAAUUCAAACAUUAGUGCUGGCUCCCAUACCUCCCUUCUCUUAGCUAGUUCUCCAGUCAAGAAGUUGAAUCAAGAUCGUUGACUCUCAAAUUAGAACAGAUCAAGGCAGAAUCUUACAAUAAUCUCGUCUCCCAUAUGAUGAAAAAAGAAUAAAGCAGAGAAAAAUAAACAGGACAUCGUCAAGUAUCGAUCAAGACCAAUUUGUUUUAUACAUCCACUUUUAAGAAAGGAAGGGUAAAAACAAUUCCACUGGGACUAUAAAAGCUUGUCUGAAAAGAAAAGAACGGAGCAAGCACAAGAGCGUUAUCAAUUAUUUAAUAAUUAAGCUGUGGAAAAAUGCCAAAUCAUGUCUGGUGUUAAAUGUUAAAUUUAUUGCGAGACUUGCAUGUAUCUUGCAUGUAUCUAUAUCACAAAUAAAAUUUGUAUCCCAGGGUUAUAAAUGUAAAAUUACUCAAAUAAAUAUGCAUUCUUAAUCAUGUGUGAUGCUGUCUUAUUUCUUCAACCAGAUUUAGAGAAAGUACUAAAUCGUUUGUAAAAUUUUAUAGUUAAUAUAUGUUCAAUUUUCUUUUUAGCAUUCUUUUUUAAGAGAUGAAAAAUGAUAAAGAGUUCUAACAACGGGUGACAAAAAUAAUAGUAAAUUGUGUACUGUUACAAUGUUAAUUGAAAAAUAGUUAUAAUUUUUUAUUUAACAUUAUAAAUAAAAUCUAUAGUUGUUUUCUCACUACUGUAUCAUUUUUUGAUUCAAAUAUCAGUAUUAUAUGAACUCUUUGAAAGGAUUACAUCAUAUGACACUAUUUAUAAUUAUUUUCAUUUGAGCCCUUAGUGUUAAAAAUAUAACAAUCCAUCAAUGAAAUCAAUGAUAAUGGAAUUCUAAGUAGGAAUGGCAGAAAAAUCAAGUCUAGCUAGAGCUAGUUUUCUAAGUAUUCUGGCUGGUCUUGGGCUCCGGCUAAAAAGUCCGAACCCAGCUCGAAAGCCAAAAAAAUACUGAAAAUUUUAAAAAUUGUAUAAUUCCAAGCCUUAAAGACUUCUCCAAAUGUAUGGUACAACAUUGCAUAAUAGGACCAAUCACAUGGAGAUGAUUUGUACAUUAUUGUACACAAUUUUAGUAUGCAUAUCAGAAGAGAGGCAGCAAUCUUAGUUGAUACUUUUAUUUGACAUAUGAUGUAAGAAACGGAACAAAGAUUGUAACGUUACAAAUUUUGCUAUUCAGCAUCCAAAAUAUCACUAGAACUUGCAAUACAAGCUUUAAUCUCUUCAACAACCCGUCGAAUUGCGGCCAGGAACACAAACGCAGAGAUGGGUAUCAAGAUCGCAUUCGAAAUCGACUGACAGGGAUUGUCACAGUUGGCAUUGCUUUUACAAGUGACUGCUUUUGAUUCCGGUUGAGCAUCAACUGCCGGCAUGGAAAUAUCAAACAACACACCUGCAUAUAUAAAUGGCAAUCAAUUAAUUAGCCUAAUGCUAAUAACACGCCUGCAUAUAUAAAUGCCAGCCAAUUAGUUGUCAUAUUAUAGUUAAUUAUGCAUGCAUUAAAAAGAUGAGGAAAAUAAGAUUAAGGAACAAACAUGAGGCUACCAAGAGAGUGAUGAAAAAUGCGGAUUUAAGUUUAAGUUACAUAAUGUUUAUGUAAGCAAAAGUGCAAAACUGAGAGUCUGAGGAUAAUGAUAUUAUUAAAUUUAAUAUGGGUUUGGUUUGUAUAGAUUCAUGAGUUUCUCUAGACAUUAUAUAGGGGGGGGGGGGGGGGGGGGGGGGGAAUUUAAUCCACUUGACAACUAAAAAAUUCAGAAAUCAAACCUCGAUUUGACAAAUUAGAAAUUUAAAAAUUAAAUUUUUUUCCAUAUGCAGGCUCUCGUUUUUCUCUCUAUCACAACGGUAUAAUUGGAAUUAUUGUUAUGACAAUUUGAUUCUCUUUUCUUACAUGUUGCAGGAGUCAUGUCCUCCCGUUGAGGUGACAAAAUGACUAUGGAUUGUGCCCGAGUGGAGUACACCACCAGUAUGAUUAUCUCACUCCCUUUCGAGGUUUUGUUGCAGUAAUUUCUCAUCUUUUAUAGGGUACCCUGCUCUUCAUUGCUUCUGUAAAAGUCUUAUGAGCUAAUUGCUUCCGAAUCUUUAAAUUUCUUCAAUGAGGAACCUUUGUUUGGAAAAUCGAUUUUCAUCUGAUCCGAGAAGGUUGCUUUGAAGCAGAGAGCUUAUGAAAUGCAGCAUGCAAAAUCAUGACUACAAUGCAGUAGACUAAUUGUUAGCUCACUCUAAGCAAAGGCAACGUUCAUAAAAGAUGAAGAAGAGUUUCUAAUAUUUACCAACAUAACUGAUAGCAAGUGCACAGAAUAGAGCUAUCUGAACAUUCAGAAGCAUAAGAACAACCAAUGUAGCUGCAAAGAUGAGAUGUAAUUACUACUGUGAAGUCGACGAAAGAAUUCCACUAUUUAUCAACAGCUAGACUGUAGUAUAAUGGAAAGACCUGCCAAGGAAAGUUUAAAGCAAAACUUAUCCAGAGAAGGCAAGAACAUAAGUAUAGAAGCAGAAGUGCACACAUUCAUAUUUAGGGGUAACGAGAAAUGUAUCAUAAAUCACUUGCUCUAGCACAGUACUAUUUCAUGCUAAUUUUCUUGCUCGUUCUAUGGUUAGGACCCUUUGAGCGGAAAGAAAUCAAAUCACAAUGCUUAUUCUAGCUAGAAACUCCUGAAGUCCAUGCUUGAACCCUGUGUCGAUUGGUCAUAGACUCCAUAUUCUCCUCUCCCAAAAGUAUGACAUUUUUUUCUUCCACUGAUUAAUGGAACUUAAAACUGUUUUGCCACAAUCUUAGUCAUACAAACCCUUUCUCUUUACAUUUCUUAAGGUCAUCAGACCCAAGCCAGAACAUGUUUACUUCCUAGGAGAAAUCUUAAAUAUCUUAAUCAAUACGGAACUGUGUAGUUCAGACAGCAUUCCCUUGGCCAACUAGACGUAAAGAUUUGCAAUGUCCUAGUAAGUCUAUGAGUGGAACUAACAGUGCCCUUCCAAUACGGAAAAACAAUCAUCAAAAACAAUUUUUUUACCCCAUCAACCACAUACAGUAUAAGACUGUAGCAGGUUAUCUCAAUAUCGGCUGCCAUUUUGAUUCAAAGAAGAAAUAUUUGAGAACUCACCACAUUGUGCAAUGCGAACCAGAACCUGCCUAAUCACAGGAUGCCAAUCCCAGUUCCAUUUGUCACUACAGAACUUGAAAAAAUCCCAAAGUGCCAAACUUGAUAUCAACCCAACAAGAGCAAGUGGCAUCUGGUAUCUAUAAGAUGGAGACAGAGACAAUGUCACUAGACAGAUGAUACACAGAAAAAAAAAAAAAUGUAAUACAACUAACACACACAAUACUAUGAUUAAAAAAAUAUCUCCAUCAGUUAAAAACUAAACAAUGGAAAGGCGAGACUCUAUGAACUAAUGCCCUGAACCAGCACAAAUACCAAUUCUCCUGGAGUAUUUUAAGUAUUCAUAUAGUUGUUUCAAAGCACAGGAAAAAAAACAAACAACGCAAAAUUGCAAACUCAUAGUGUUGUUAUUUAUCAAUUGGAACCCAGAAAAAAAUAGCUGUAAUUUAAUUAUUCAUUUAAGCAGAUUGAAACCCUUACAAACACAGGUAAGCAAAUCAAAAUUAUCAUUAAAAAUCCAAUCAAGGCCACAUAAAUCUAAUCACAUCCAAAAGCAUCCCAAAAUCUCGUUCAAUAUUCAUACAACCACAUACAAAAACCAUUCAAAAAUUUAAUUUUUUUUAACUCAAAAUAAUAACUCAGAAAAGGAAACAAAAUUCUUACAGAGAGCAAGCAAAGAAGAGGAUGAACAAAGAAGCAUAAUUCCUGGCAUAACGUUUAACAUUCUCAUGAACUCUCAACUUAAGGGUGUGUGGGGAAGAUGGAAACGAGAAAGACCCAAGAGCCCCAAUAAACUCACGGGUCCAAGACGGGGUGUUGGCUGAGAAAUCAUCAGUGGUGAGUUUAGCAAAAGGGUUGGCGGUAAGAAGAGAGAUAAAGGUGUAUAAAUAAUGUAAAAGGCUGUGAGUUAAGGUCGUGGCUGUGGCUGUUUCUUUGGUGGAGGCUGUUGUGACGGCGGUGGCCGACGUGGUGGUGGCGGUGUCGAGGAUUUCGAGGUAGCCGGACUCGCGUAGCCAUGACUCGAAUGCUGGGUCGGGUACGUUUAGAGAUAACGGGUUGGAUGCGAAUACCUUCCCCAUUACAAAAAGCUAUCCAAUUUCGGUUGAAUGAGGGUCACUAAAUUAUCAAAAUAUUAAUAACUAAUUUUUAACAAAAUUCAUAUGAUAUGAUAUGAUGAUAUAGGCCUUGGUUAGUGGUUUUCUAAACAAUUUAUUAUUAUUAUUAUUCUCUUAAUCACUCCAAGUUUAAAUUUGGAAGAUGUAGGGGAUAGAAAUAAAUUAUAUUAGGAUUUGUCGAUUUGUCAAUAAAAACUUCAGUAUUAUAUGCUUAAUUUUUUUAAAGAAUUUUCUUUGAGUAUUGUUUUGAGUAAAUAAUUGUAAUUAAUUUAACAUGCUUAAGGACUUUUAGUAUUUUAAAGACCAUACAAAGUAUAACUUAAUUUUUUAAGUUUAAUAGAUGAGUGUGUAGAACAAUAAAGUAUUUAAAGUAAUUAUUAGAGGAUAAAUAGGCAUAUCCAAUACUCUUUUUUUUUUUUGAAAACAAAGUAAACCUUUCAUAAAUCACAACACCUCAAAUACAACUUGAAUCUUGGCUGGAAUAGUUCCUAGCCACAUAGAAGAAGAAUUUCUUCCCAAAGCUAACUUAGCUAGGGAGUUGGCAUAAGCAUUACAUUGUCUUAGAAUGUGAUGAACAAUAACUUUUUGAAAACCUUUCAACUGAUUUCGGAUCUCCAGAAUUGUCCAAAAAAAUUCUGUUUUGCUGCCCUUGGUAUUGUUUACAAGUUGAACCACCUCUAAGCAAUCUGACUUAAUGAUCAAGGAGGUUAAAUCUGCUUCUUUUGCCAACUGAAGCCCCCAUUGCACAGUCUCUGCCUCAACCAAACUGACUGGUCCCUUAAGAUGAAUCUGAUUAAUACCGGCUGCAAUUAUCUUUCCAUUAGAAUCUCUAAUCACUGCUCCCACGCCUGCAAUCUGAUUCUUAGUAUUAAUGGCAACAUCCACAUUAAUUUUGAAAAUAUUUUCAGGGGGAGGGAACCACUUUUGUUGUUUCUCUCCUCUGGGGUGGGCAAUAUGAGAAGGCUUUUUCUUUCUUACUCUUUGAAAAGCUGAGCCUUUACAACAUGAGCAGGGAGGGGACUCCACUUUUGAUGCAUCAUAGAUAGUUUCUUCUCUGCAAAAACUUUGCCCAAAUUUCUUAAGUUUCUUAAAGGCAUCCAUCAGAUCUGCCUUUGCAACACUUUCCACAAAGUAGAAACUUUUCUUCUCAAAAUUCUGCAUCAUAAAAUACAAAACCAAGCAAAAUCAAAUGAACCCCAGAUUUGUAAAUCUGGGUAGACAAACAAUAAUAAACCACCACAAAUCUCUAGAUCUGAGUGGAAGAACAUACCACCACAAAUUUGAAAAUAUGAGUGGAAGAACAAAACCACCACAGAUAUGAGGAUCUGAGUGGAGAAAAUAAGUAAAGAAAAUAAAAAAGGAAUGAAAAAAGAAGGUUUCGCCGGAAAACGAACUCAUAGAGCUGAUUUUCCGACGAAAGAAGAAGGUGAAAUGUUAUUGGAUGUUCAGAGCCUUUUUUUUCUGGAAAGGCAUAUCCAAUACUUUAACUUAUGGUUGGUUGUUUUUUUCACAUAAUUUUCUGAUUUGAAUUGAAUCAAUUACAAGUUGUGACUCGAGCUCAAGAGAGUUGAAGAGAAAGAAAAAGAAAAAUGGAGUCCUUCUCUUGUCCCUUUUAAGUGAAUAUAUUUAGGUUGGGUACCGCAGGGUAGUUGAUGAGCAUAAUUUAUAUACAUAUUUUACCCUUAAUUAUAUAAUUACUAGCUAUUUUCAUUGGUCAUUUUUAAUUAAUUGAAUUAUUUUAUUGAAUAGGGAAUUAAUUGGGGAUUAUGGAUGAAAAGUGGAUAAAGAAUAACAAUUGGACAACAUUAAAAAUCAAGUCAAUUUGUGGAAGCAGUUAAGCAAAUGUGUAUGAAAUUCAAUCCGAAGAAGCCGAAGCCAAUAAAUUGAAUUCUCCAUGCUAGUGCAAACAAAGAAUAAAUUUAAAGCUAAAGUGGCCUGCACGUGAGAAGCAAUUGCAUGGCAUUAAAAAAAGAAUGAAAAAUCCAAGUGGGCUUCACGUGCAUGGGCUCAAAGUCAGUUGUGCUUUGCUUGUUUUAAAACCUUUUGAUUUGAGCAAAGUAAACACUGAUGCAGCCAUUUGCUUUGAAAAGAACAUUGUAGGGCUGGGGGCAGUAAUCAAAAAUGUUUUGGGGCAUGUUACAGCAGCUGCUAUCAAGGUUGCUAAGUUUCGUGGAGAUGUUUCUUAUGCAGAAGCAGAAGCCAUGGAAUGGGGUAUGUUAGUGGCGCGAGAGGCCAACAUGAAAGCUGUCAUUAUGGAAUCAGAUUCUCAAGGUGUGGUCAAUUUAGUUAACAACAAGCAGGGCAGCAGAUCAGAGAUCUAUUGGGUUGUGUCAGAAAUUCAGAAACUAGCGGAAAGCUUCGAACGUGUUAGCUUUAAAUACACGACUAGAUCUUGAAAUGUUAUUGCCCACUCUUUAGCUAAACUAGCUUUAGAGAAGUGCGAGAAUGUUGUGUGGAAAGGGUCAUACCCUUCACAAGUGAUGUAUCUCUUUUCCACUUUAGUUUAAUGGAAAUCUCUUUUCAAAAAAAAAAAAAAAAAAAAAAAAAACCUUUUAAUUUGAGGAUUUUGGAGGGUGUUACAAUAUAAAAGUCGUGUUAACAUAAAUAUGUUAAUAAUAUUGAUUUUGAUGCUAACAAAUUUUAAAUGAUUUUUUGAUAAAAGUAUUGGAGCUAUUUCUUAAUAAACGAGAGCCUUAGUAAUCAUUCCAUUCAUGCUUCAUAAAAGAUGGACUUUAAAAUUAGAAAAAGAUUCUCUGCAAAAACUAGUUUAAAAUGCAAUUCUGGUUAUAAACGGUUCACCGUUUAUUUAAACGGUUAACCGAUAACAGCCAGAGAGCAACGUAUUUCCUAAACCUCUAACCGUUUAUGAAAAACGGAAAACACAAAAGAUGGGAAGGUUACUGGAACUUAACGGUGAACCGUUUAUUUUAAACGGUUAACCGAUUAGAACCAGAGAGCAACAUAUUACCUAAGCUCUAACCGUUUAUGCUUAACAGAAAACACCCAAGAUGGGAAGGCUACUGGAACCUAACGGUGAACCGUUUAUUUUAAACGGUUAACCGAUAACGUCCAAAAUUGAAGGUUGUCCUCCUCUGGCACUGAUUAACGAAAACUGAUAAGGCUAAAUUUGUUUUGCAGGUUACUGGAGACAAACGGCGAACCGUUUAUAUCAAACGGUUAACCAAUAAUUUCCAGAGAAGCCACUUCACGCAAGUCCUUAACCGUUUAGCGUAAACGGAUAACAAAUACUCAUUUUGCAGGUCUCUGGAAGUUAACGGCGAAAGGGCAACCCUAAACGGCAAACCGUUUAUUUGAAAUCUGGCCCAACGGUAACUUUGACCAGCCUAAACGGUUAACCGUUUAUGGUUAACGGCGAACCGUUUUCUGUCCGACAGUUUGUAACGGCUAGAUUUUCGGCUCCAAAUAUAAAUAAGCUCAUUCAAAUUCAAAGAUGAUUGAUCACAACACGACCAUUUGAGCUAAUAUUCGAGAAUACAAUCUUCAUAGAGCUUAGAACAUAUUCUUGCUUCAUCUAUUCACAUAUUAAGCAUCAUUGUGUAAUCUUAUAUAUUGUGAGAGGCAAAACAAUUUAUAAUCUUUUAUUUUGAGUGAUUGUAAGUGUUGGGAUACACUUGGGUUAAGAGAUUGGGGAUAAUCUCUUGUUGUAAAGGUUCAUUGACACCUUGGAAGUCAAGUGUAAGCAUUUGAAGCCUUGGAGGCUUGCUUAGUGGAAUCCUCAAGCCCGGAAAGCUUGGAGGCGUGGACGUAGGCGAGGUUGGCCGAACCACGUAAAAAUCUCGGUGUUUGAAUCCCUCUUCCCUUAUCUUUUUAUAUUGUGAUUCUCUUAAUUGUUAUUGCUUUGAAUUUGAUUUAUAAUUGCAUUAAGAUUUUCUUUAAUAAAUUGAAUAAUUUUUUAGAAUCCCAAUUCACCCCCCCUCUUGGGUUGCAUACUUGUAUUUCAAUUGGUAUCAGAGCCUCGUUCUCUUGUUAAGACUUAAUCGUCUAGAGUAAAAGAUCCAUGGCAACCCUAAAUGACUCAACCUUUAGAGAAGGGCAAUCCACAACUAGACCACCAUUUUUCGAUGGUAAUGACUAUGCUUAUUGGAAAACUAGAAUGAGAAUUUAUUUGCAAGCCUUAGAUUAUGAAAUUUGGGAAGUUGUUUGUGAUGGUCCAUUCAUGCCUACGUUCAAAGAUGAAGUAGGAGAUGAUAUUCCUAAACCAUCGAGUCAAUGGAGUGAGUUAGAAAAGAGAAAGAUGUCUCUAAACUCCAAGGCUAUGAAUGCUUUGUUUUGUGCCCUUGAUAAGAAAGAAUUCCAUAGAGUAUCUAGUUGUGAAAGUGCACAAGAGAUAUGGAACAAACUUGAAGUUGUCUAUGAAGGGACAAAUCAAGUGAAAGAGUCUAAAAUCAGUAGAUACACUCGUCAAUAUGAGUUGUUCCAAAUGGAACAAAAUAAAAAUGUGUAUUCUAUGUAUACUAGAUUCACGGACAUAGUGAACACCCUAGGUGCCUUAGGGAAAACCUUCUCAAAUAGUGAGAAAGUUAAGAAAAUCAUUAGGUCUCUUCCAAAAGAAUGGAGACCCAAAAGAACCGCUAUUGAAGAGGCCAAAGAUUUAAAUACUUUACCUCUUGAUGAUUUAAUUGGUUCUCUUAUUUCGUAUGAAGAGGAUUUAGCUGCAGAAAGAGGACAUGAGGAGAAGAAGAAAAGCAUUGCUCUCAAAGCUUCAAAAUAUGAGAGUGAUGAGGAGAGUGAACCGGAUGAUGAAGAACUAGCCAUGCUAGCAAGGAGGUUCAGAAAAUUCUUCAAGAAAACCGGAGAGCGAAGAAAUUUCAGAAACUUCAAGAACUAUAGGGAGAAGAAGGAGGCAAUCACUUGCUAUGAAUGCAAGAAGCCUGGACAUAUAAGAUCGGAGUGCCCACUUAUCAACAAACUCAAGAAGAAAGCAAUGGUUGCAACUUAGGAUGAUAGUGAGGAAGAAUCAAAUGAUGAAGAAGGAUCGCAAGAAGUAUCAAACCUAGCACUCAUGGCAAUAGGAGGAGAUGAUGAUCUCAAUGAGGUAAGUGAUCCUACCUAUGAUGAAUUAUAUGAUGCUUGUCAAGAUUUGCAUAAUGAGUUAAUGAAAAUUGGUAAAAAGAAUGUAUGUCUUAAAAAGAAAAUGGCAAAACUUAAAAAUGAAAAUGAAUCUCUAAAUGCAAGAAUUGUAUGCCUAGAAGUAGGAAACAAAACAUUGCAUGAUGAAAUUGCAUUAUCAAAUGAGAAACCUAGCAUCUUACAUGAGCAUUUGAAAUCACACAUAGAUGAGUUGAAAAAUGAGAACGAAUUGCUCAAGAAAAAGAAUAAUGAAUUAAAUGAAAUUGUUUUGAAAUUUACAAAUGGGCAAAAGAUGUUGGAUAAUAUGCUUAACUCACAAAAAUGUGUUUUUGAUAAAGGAGGACUUGGAUAUAAGCCAAAUUUGAAGCAAAAGUAUUAUAAGAAUUAUUUUGUUAAAGCUACCUCCCCAAAUGAUCAUAAGAUUGUAUGUCAUUAUUGUAAUCAAAAUGGUCACAUGAAAUUUAAAUGUCCCGUGAAAAGGAAUGCAUAUUAUGGUGUCAAGUGCAUUUGGGUUCCAAAAGGAACCGUUGCUAACUCUCAAGGACCCAAAAAGCUUUGGGUACCUAAAACUUGAGACUUUUUCUUGUAGGGCUUGAAGAAGAAGAAGAAUAAAUGGUACUUGGACAACGGUUGUUCAAGGCACAUGACCGGAAACUAUGCAUGGUUCUCAAACUUUUCCAAAAUUGAAAAUGGUGGAGACGUAUCCUUUGGAGACAACUCAAAAGGAAAAAUUCUUGGAAUUGGAAAUGUUGGUAAAGUUUCUUCAACUCUAAUUGAGAAUGUAUGUUUGGUUGAAAACUUGAAACACAACUUAAUUAGCAUUAGUCAAUUAUGUGACAAAGGUUAUAAAGUUAUCUUUGAUAAAUUUAGUUGUGUUAUUGAGAACUCAUGUGAUGGCAAAACCUUAUUUGUUGGAAAUAGAUGUGGUAAUGUUUAUAUCAUUGACAUAAAAUGUGCAUCUACUCUUGAUAAAUGUUUUUCGGCAUUGCAUGAUGAUUGUUGGUUGUGGCAUAGAAGGUUAGGAGAUGCAAGUAUGGAUUUGAUUUCAAAAAUUUCGAAAGAUGAUUUAGUUAAAGGUCUUCCGAAAAUUGGUUUUCAAAAGGAUAAGAUUUGUGAAGCUUGUCAAUUUGGAAAACAAAUUAAAACUUCUUUCAAGAAUAAAAACCAUAUUUCUACUUCAAAACCACUUGAACUUCUUCACAUAGAUCUUUUUGGGUCAUCUAGAUAUGCAAGUCUAAAUGGCAAAUAUUAUGCUUUUGUGAUAGUGGAUGAUUAUUCUAGAUAUACAUGGGUAUUAUUCUUAGCCAAUAAGGAUGAUGCUCUUGAUGCAUUUAAAGUGCUUUGUAAGAAAUUACAAAAUGAAAAAGGGCAUGGUAUUGUAUGCAUUAGGAGUGAUCAUGGAGGAGAAUUUGAAAAUCAUGCAUUUGAGAGUUUUUGCAAUAAUCUAGGCAUUGAGCAUCAAUUUUCUUCACCUAGAACUCCACAACAAAAUGGAGUUGUUGAGAGAAAGAAUAGGUCUAUUCAAGAAAUGGCUAGGACCAUGUUAAAUGAAAAUGCAUUACCAAAAUAUUUUUGGGCCGAAGCCGUCAACACCGCUUGUUAUGUUUUAAAUCGGGUGUUGAUUAGACCUAAUCUUAAUAAAACUCCAUAUGAGCUUUGGAAAGAUAGAAAACCCAACAUUGGCUAUUUUAAAGUUUUUGGAUGCAAAUGUUUUGUUCUGAACACAAAAGACAAUCUUGGUAAAUUUGAUUCAAAAUUCGAUGUUGGUAUUUUUCUUGGUUAUUCAAAUUCAAGCAAAGCUUAUAGAGUUUAUAACACAAGAACUUUAGUUGUGGAAGAAUCUAUGCAUGUCACAUUUGAUGAGUCUAACCCCUCCUCUACGAAGAAAGUCGUUGUUGAUGAUGAUGUAGGAGAAGAAGAACAAGAAGAAGAAGCAUCAAAUGACAAUCAAGAGGAUGCACUACAUGGAAUUCAAGAGGAACAUCAUGAAGAAUCAAUGUGGAGCAAAAUGAAGGUACUUCUCAUACACUCCCCAAGGAGUGGAGGUAUGUCUCUUCUCACCCUAAAGAUGUAAUUUUAGGAGAUCCCUCAUGAGGUAUAACAACUAGAUCAUCACUUAGAAAUACUUGUGAGCAUAAUGCAUUCAUCUCUCAAAUUGAACCAAAAUCCUUUGAGGAUGCAGAAAAUGAUGAAUUUUGGAUUAUGGCAAUGCAAGAGGAGUUAAAUCAAUUUGAAAGAAACAAUGUGUGGGAACUAGUUCCUAAACCUGAACAUCAAUCUAUAAUAGGUACUAAAUGGGUGUUUAGAAAUAAGAUGGAUGAAUCCGGUGUGGUUGUAAGAAACAAAGCUAGAUUAGUGGCUCAAGGUUACAACCAAGAGGAAGGAAUUGAUUUUGAUGAAACCUUUGCACCUGUAGCAAGGUUAGAAUCCAUUAGGAUGUUGUUAGCAUAUGCAUGUCAUAAGGAUUUUAUUUUAUAUCAAAUGGAUGUCAAGAGUGCUUUCUUGAAUGGAUAUAUUUUGGAGGAAGUUUAUGUGAAACAACCUCCUGGUUUUGAAAAUGAAAAAUUUCCAAAUCAUGUGUAUAAGUUGCUCAAAGCCUUGUAUGGAUUAAAACAAGCACCUAGAGCAUGGUAUGAUAGACUUAAAAAUUUCUUGCUAGAAAAUGACUUCUCUAUGGGUAAAGCGGAUACUACUCUUUUUGUUAAGCAUAAGAACCAAGACAUACUUAUUGUUCAAAUUUAUGUUGAUGAUAUCAUUUUUGGUUCUACUAAUGAGUUGUUGUGUAAAGAAUUUUCAUUGUGUAUGAGCAAAGAAUUUGAGAUGAGUAUGAUGGGAGAGUUGAAAUACUUCCUUGGACUUCAAAUCAAACAAAGCGGGGAAGGAAUUUUCAUAAAUCAAGCCAAGUACGUAAAGGAUCUACUCAAACGAUUCGGCAUUGAUGAUUCAAAGACCAAGAAUACACCAAUGAGCACAACAACCAAGCUGGACAAAGAUGAAAAAGGUAAAGAAGUGGAUAUCAAAAUGUAUCGAGGUAUGAUCGGAUCCCUACUCUAUUUGACUGCAAGUAGACCCGAUAUCAUGUUUAGUGUAUGUUUGUGUGCAAGAUUUCAGUCUUGUCCCAAGGAAUCUCAUUUGCUCGCUGUUAAAAGAAUUUUCCGUUAUUUGAGUGGAACCAUAGAUAUUGGCCUUUGGUAUCCUAGGGGAACUCAUAUAGAUUUAACAUGUUUUUCGGAUGCGGAUUUUGCUAGUUAUAAAGUGGAUAGGAAGAGCACUAGUGGAACUUGCUAUAUUCUAAGACACUCUCUUGUUUCAUGGUUUAGCAAGAAACAAAAUUCUGUUGCACUUUCAACUACUGAGGCUGAAUAUAUAGCUGCCGGAAGUUGUUGUGCACAAGCACUUUGGAUGAAACAAACACUUAGAGAUUAUGGCAUUAAUCUUGAACAAAUUCCUAUUAAGUGUGAUAAUACUAGUGCUAUAAACCUUUCAAAGAAUCCCAUUCAACAUUCUCGAACCAAGCAUAUAGAAAUAAGACAUCAUUUCUUGAGAGAUCAUGUUCAAAAGGGAGAUAUUGCAUUAGAGUUUAUUUCCACGGAAAAACAACUUGCCGAUAUUUUCACAAAACCGCUUUGCGAAGAACAAUUUUCAAAAAUUCGGCAUGAACUUGGGAUGAUGAAAUUUUUGCAUUAACAUCUCUAUUCAUGCUAUUGAGUGUACUGAAUUGAUUGAUUACUAUUUAUGAAAUGCUUGAGCUUGGUAGACAAAUGAUGAAUUUGCAUUAAUAACUCUUGAUUAUAUGAAUUGAUUGGUUGAAAACAUGUCCAUGAAUCAUGCAUUAAACUGGCUCAUAAAAUAUUUUCAGAUCAAUUAAAUGAUCUUGGAAUAUAUUAUUUGCUGGCCAAAAAUUAAAUCAAAUGUGCGAAAUUACAGAUUGAAUAAACGGUUAGCCGUUUCCUAUAAACGGAUCACCGUUUAAUUCCAGAAACGAGAUUAUGUGUCUGCCCGUUUACCCUUUCACCGUUUUCCACAAUCGGUGAACCGUUUUUCAACAGAGAGUCCUCUAACAGUUACUCCUUAGUCGUUAAGCGCUUAGGCUUUCACCGUUUCCCUUUCUUCAGCCUCUGGACGUUACCCUUUCACCGUUUCAAUAAACGGUUAACCGUUUUCGCGAAGUAUAUAAACUGUUUAAAGGUUUUCUUCUCCUUCUCCAGUUACCCUCUCACCGUUUCCUCCAUUGUUGCGCAGCCGAAGGUCUCUUUGUCCUCAAAUCCUCAUUUUUCUUGAUUUCCGUGCCAAAUCAAAUCCUCAAAAUCAUUUCUUAUCACCUUUAGAACAUUUCUACCGAUUCAAAACUUCAAAUCGAACCCAAAAUUCAAAAAUCCCAAAUCUAAACCCUAACUGUCGCGAGUCGGGUUUCUCUGUCCUUAAUCUGAUUUCCACCUUUCUUCAACCAAAUUAAACAUCCUACUCACAUCUUCUACUCCUCAUUACGUGUUUCCAUGGCUGAACCUCCUCGGAGAAAUCUCAGACGUAAAUCUGUGCCUCCAAGGAAUCCCAUACCACCUCGGGACGUCUCGGAAUUUGCAAGGAUUCACUUCCCCACUCCUUCCUUGGCCAAGCGAUUCGAAGAACGCUUCAAUGGUCGAAAGGUACUUGACUCCUUCUUUGUUGACAUUGAUGAUUUCCAUAAUUUGGUUGUAUGUGGUAGAAGCAUUUGGGAUAUGCUUCGGCCUUGGGAGUCUGGCAUUGAUUUUGAUGACCGAGUUUAUCCAAACUUAGUGCGAGUCUUUUAUUCGAACAUGGAAAUCUCCAAUACUCGUCCAAAUAGGAUAGUCACUCAAGUCGGCCGUGUACCCAUAGAAUUUGAUGAUGCGGACUUAGCUGACUUUCUAGGUAUCUCUUGUGAGGGGAUUGACAUCUACACUUCUAGGAAAACCCUCUCCUUUGAUACUUUUUCUCAUACUCACGGCGUCCGUAAUAUAUGUCGUCGUCGAGACUUAUCGGAUGAUAUCUGUCAGCUUCCAUUUCGGUCUCAACUUUUACCGCUCCAAGUUCGUAUUCUUCACUCUAUUCUACAGCACAUAGUGACUCAUAGGAAGGGUCACUCGGAUGAGGUUACGAGGUUAGACGUCGCCUUAUUGGAUAGCCUUAUUACAGACCGUCCCAUUAACCUCGGGUAUAUUAUUGUGCGACAUAUGCUGAGUACUCCAGUGGUCAACCACCGCUUGUUUCCCUACGGCAGUAUCAUCACUAAAAUACUGCGACGCUUUGAGGUGCCACUUCUUGAUACUGGACAUAUGGAGACUCGACGGAUUGGUUCCGAGGCAGUAACCAGUAUCGGAUUCUCUAGAAAGAAUGGAGUGUGGAUAAAGACAAGCAACUCCAAAAACCGGGAUACCUUGAUUGCUCCAGAGGACGAUCGGAUGCUCAAUGAUGUCUAUCGUCCCGACCAGCUUCCUGACUUUAGACUAGGCGCUCAUCCUCAUCCUCCGCGUCGCCGUUUUGUUCCUCAGCCUCCAGCUGACUCAGACUCUGAGGAGCGUGCGAUGGAUGCUGAUAUUCCCUCCUCUUCCGAGCCGCCUACUGCUCCUGAGCCUUCUGCUGUUCCCGAGCAGCCAUCUGCCUCUAUGCCGCCUCCAGCUCCAGUUCAGCCCCCUGCUUCAGACGCAGUGCAGCAGCUGAUCUCUGAUGUUCAGCGGAUUUCGGAGCGCCAGCAGCUAAUUCUUGAUCGGUUGGACACUCUUUCCCGUGACCACCAGCAGCUGCGUUCUGACUUUCAGAUAUUCCAGCGGCAGAGCCUUGAUUAGCAGAUGGAGCUUAUCGCUGGACAGCGCACUAUUCUCGGCUAUUUCGGCUAUGAUCCAAGGAGCACAUCUUCUCCGCCUCCGUAGUUUCUGAGCUUUGUCUUCGCAUAUACAUUUUACAUUCUGGUUGCUAGCAUUUUUAUUAUUAUUUUGAUUUUGAUGCAUAUGUGUGUGAUGUUCUUGAUGAUUAGCUUAUUGAUGCUUUGUGAUUGCCUAAUUGGUUGGAUAUUGUAGAAAUGGUUUAUUUGUGGAUAUUGGAGUGUUGGUAUAUUUGUGGAUAUUGAAGUGUUAUUUUAUCUUGUUCAUGGAGUUGUUGGCUUGUUGAACGCAGAAGUUAAUGUUGAUCUAAUUUUGGAAGUGUUUUAUCUCAUUUUGUAUUUAUGGUUUUACUCAUUUUUAAGGGGAAACUCUGCCAAAAUUUUUUUUUUUUUGCUUGCCAAAACCGGGCACUUUCUUUCAUGAAUUUGCGUAUUUCUUAUUUCCUCUUUCCUUUUGAUGAUGAAGGGGGAGAUAAUUAAAGUUUUUAAGAUGGUUUUUAAGUUUUUAAGAUUUUUUUUUAAAUUUUAAAUGGGGAGAUAUUUGUUUUUAAGAUGGAUUUAAAAUGGGGCAAUUUAUUCACAUUUCUCAAUUUGGCCAUACAUUUAGGGGGAGCACAUAUUAAGGGGGAGCUAAACAUUGAUUAGAAUUUGUCAUCAUCAAAAAGGGGGAGAUUGUUAACAUAAAUAUGUUAAUAAUAUUGAUUUUGAUGCUAACAAAUUUUAAAUGAUUUUUUGAUAAAAGUAUUGGAGCUAUUUCUUAAUAAACGAGAGCCUUAGUAAUCAUUCCAUUCAUGCUUCAUAAAAGAUGGACUUUAAAAUUAGAAAAAGAUUCUCUGCAAAAACUAGUUUAAAAUGCAAUUCUGGUUAUAAACGGUUCACCGUUUAUUUAAACGGUUAACCGAUAACAGCCAGAGAGCAACGUAUUUCCUAAACCUCUAACCGUUUAUGAAAAACGGAAAACACAAAAGAUGGGAAGGUUACUGGAACUUAACGGUGAACCGUUUAUUUUAAACGGUUAACCGAUUAGAACCAGAGAGCAACAUAUUACCUAAGCUCUAACCGUUUAUGCUUAACAGAAAACACCCAAGAUGGGAAGGCUACUGGAACCUAACGGUGAACCGUUUAUUUUAAACGGUUAACCGAUAACGUCCAAAAUUGAAGGUUGUCCUCCUCUGGCACUGAUUAACGAAAACUGAUAAGGCUAAAUUUGUUUUGCAGGUUACUGGAGACAAACGGCGAACCGUUUAUAUCAAACGGUUAACCAAUAAUUUCCAGAGAAGCCACUUCACGCAAGUCCUUAACCGUUUAGCGUAAACGGAUAACAAAUACUCAUUUUGCAGGUCUCUGGAAGUUAACGGCGAAAGGGCAACCCUAAACGGCAAACCGUUUAUUUGAAAUCUGGCCCAACGGUAACUUUGACCAGCCUAAACGGUUAACCGUUUAUGGUUAACGGCGAACCGUUUUCUGUCCGACAGUUUGUAACGGCUAGAUUUUCGGCUCCAAAUAUAAAUAAGCUCAUUCAAAUUCAAAGAUGAUUGAUCACAACACGACCAUUUGAGCUAAUAUUCGAGAAUACAAUCUUCAUAGAGCUUAGAACAUAUUCUUGCUUCAUCUAUUCACAUAUUAAGCAUCAUUGUGUAAUCUUAUAUAUUGUGAGAGGCAAAACAAUUUAUAAUCUUUUAUUUUGAGUGAUUGUAAGUGUUGGGAUACACUUGGGUUAAGAGAUUGGGGAUAAUCUCUUGUUGUAAAGGUUCAUUGACAUCUUGGAAGUCAAGUGUAAGCAUUUGAAGCCUUGGAGGCUUGCUUAGUGGAAUCCUCAGGCCUGGAAAGCUUGGAGGCGUGGACGUAGGCGAGGUUGGCCGAACCACGUAAAAAUCUCGGUGUUUGAAUCCCUCUUCCCUUAUCUUUUUAUAUUGUGAUUCUCUUAAUUGUUAUUGCUUUGAAUUUGAUUUAUAAUUGCAUUAAGAUUUUCUUUAAUAAAUUGAAUAAUUUUUUAGAAUCCCAAUUCACCCCCCCUCUUGGGUUGCAUACUUGUAUUUCAAGUCGAACUUUGGCUUUUGCAAGAAGGAGGAGCCGCCAGAGGAGGGAAACGCGAGACAAAGAGAAGAAAAUCUGAAGUGGUUCGACUUCCAUGGCUGGUUUUAUCUCUUUUGUUACUCUUAAUUCAAGUAUGUCUAGCUAAUUUUCUUAUACUGAGGUUAAGGAUGAAACUCUAUUCAAUGAAAUAAUUAUCUUUUUAUUUAUUUAAUUCCCUAUAUAUGUUCUUUAAUGAUUAUGAUUUUUAUUUUACAUAAUUAAUUGGAUGUUAUUAAAAUCUUUUCAUCAAUUUUGUCAUGCAUUAUUGAUUGUUGGGAUUAAUAUUCGAUUAAAUCUAUGCUUGGAUUUAUAAAGUUUAUACAUGAUUAUCUUUGAUUAUAUGUCUUUCAUUAAAUUGUUUACAUGGAGUGCUUAGGAAACUUUGACUAUUUGUUAUUCAAUAUGUUCACAUGGGAUACUUAGAUGUCAUACUAUUAAGCGGAAAAAGAACCUAUAUUAGAUUUAAUUAUUUGGGCUUAAUUGUUAUAUCCAUGAGAUGACAUAUAUUGAUUUCGAGUUAUCACUCUAAAAUUGGGGAUUAAUGAAUAUUUAGAUAAUUACUAGUUGAAUAGUGGUGGAUUCUGAAACCUUGGUAAUUUCUAUCCUAUUGAAUUCUCCUUUUCUUUAAUUGUUUUCUUAGUUUAAUUAGUUUAAUUUCUCUUAAAACUCAAUUUGCUCAACUAGGCUAGAAUUAAUAUUAAUUUUAUAUUUAAAUUAGACUUUUCAAUUUAUAACAAUCCAUGUGGGAUCGACCUCGUUAUCACUAUUUUAUUUCUAGAUUCGUGCGCUUGCGAGUUUAUUAAAAUUUUCACAACAUUAGUUUAAUCUUUUCUACUGCAUGGCACCUCUUUACUCAAAUAUCAAAUGAGCUUGCUCUUCACGUGACGCUAAAUUUACCAAACUUUAUUUUUUUCCUUAAUUGGCUCGUGUAGGACAGUCGAGGUGUCAUUUUUUUUUUUUUCACCGUUCAACUUCUUAUUUAUUAUUCUUAUACCGCAUGUCAGCUUUCAAUUAGUCCAAAAAUAUCCUUCAAAUUUUACCUCCAAACAAAUCUAAUAACCUCUUGAAAACAAAAAAUUAAAAAUUUAUUCAAUCAUUCAAUGUUAAGGAAAUUGGCCAAGUAAUGGAAUGCUAACAAACCGAAUUAAAUUUCCACAUUUAUUUUUUUUUCUCAUGCAUGCUCUACUAAAAAUAUUUGAUGUCGUGCUAAUGCUCACUGCAAAGUAUAUAUUAGAUGCUCGCGCAUAUACCGUAGGCUAUAGCUAUACAAAAACUUAUACUUGCGUUCUCGAAUGCACACACUUGCACGCAAAAUUCUAUUAUUGAGAGUCGCUGCUUUCUAUAACACGGCCUUUUUCUAGCCUUUCAUUAGACGUGGUUUCAAUUUAUUGAACCAUUAGAGGGACACAUCAGUAGUCACAAAAAUGCCCCUCUGUAGAACCUGAAGGGAACUUCAGUAGCUCAAACACCUUCAGCCUCUGCCCAAGAUUCAAGAUCAGAUUCCUAGAUGCUUGACUAUAGAUGACUUGAAAAAUGUUUAACCAAGAACUUCAAGUGAACAGAACAAUCAAUGGUUUAAGAAUCAAAGAAUCGAAAAAAAACUAAAGAAUAAAGAACAGAGGAGAUUUAACGUGGUUCAGCUAAAACACUUAGCUUACAUCCACGGAGGAACAAGACUUCAGGCUUUUAUUGAAUGAACUCAAGAUUACAGAGAAUUACAGAUUGUAUCUCAUGGAAAUUACUACCUAUUAAACCCAGGAGUAACCCCCUUUUUAUACUCAUAAAUUGUAGCCAGCUAUCUGCACCAGAAUCAGCUCCUUUUCAGUUGCUGAUAACUUCCUGGAAACUAAUCCAGAUGCUCACGUGCAAGCCAUGCUUCAUUAACGACUUUAACGGCUUCUUUCAUUCGAAUCCAUUCACGUGAGUCUCAGGUGUUUCACUUAAGUCAAACGACAUUCCAAGACAUCGUUUCACUUAGCUUUGGUUUACACACCGAAACGCACUCUGUCAAGUCGUUUUGAAUGCCACUGAAUUGCUUUCAAUGGUUACUUUACACCCUCUAAAUGGCAAUUCUUUUAAUCAUUUUGCUGCCGCUCUUCCUUCCAGUCCCAAGUACACAGCCCAAACUUCAAUUUUCUCUGGGAAUAAUGAAUCAUGGCUCAGUCUCAAUAUGUCUUCCAUAUUCCAUGGAACGAGCCAAAGGAGGAGUACUUCUAUAGUUAGUAGCAACUAGCAAUCAUAUUGAUUCUUGAAGGAAUUUUCUGCAUCAGAUAAAGAAAGAGCAGCAGAGAACAAAGCUGUUAAUCAAUCAACACAUGUAAAGCAGUAUUAGUAUUUCUGCCUUAUUGUAGUGCCUAAGUGGGUAUUAGGAUUUCUCCACAAGAACGUUUACUAAGAUAUUCAGCCAAGUGUGAAGUUCAUCAAUAAUCAAUCUUUUCUGGAAAUAAACGAAACAUAUUGAGUGCCAGACUUGUCCAGCCUCUGAAACAGGAUUUCAGAGCAAGCAACAGAACAAAGACAGAAAAUACAUUCAACUGAACCCAACACCAGAAAGCAUCACAAAUAUUAUUUAUUUUUUGUACACAAUUAACGAACCGCCGUUGAAGCACAAAUCAAUGAACUCUCAACUGAAAAUCCGAAACGAAAUUUCUUAUUUAUGAAUAGACAGCGGAAACAAAGAAACCAAAAAAAAUGUCCACCGCCGUAGGAUCAGGAUUUAUUUGUGUAGACAGUAGAAGUGAAGACGGAAAGGAUUCUGGUAGAAAUUGAAGUUCGGGCUGCAGUUAUGAUGUUUUCUUCUCUGAUUUCACCUACACAAGUCAUUGAAGAAAUUGUGAAAAAUAAGAAUUUUAAAUUACAUUUUUUUCCUUAACUAUUAAAACAAAUGAACGCCGAUGUCUGCUAGGCUCAUGGUUGAAUGUGGUCUCCAUUGCUGCUAAAGAGGGCUUGAUGAUUGGGGUGAGUAUCGGAAACACUUUGUAUAACCAUUUUUGUAUUGAAGACAAGGGGAAAAAAAGUAUAUGAAAUUGGAUAAAUAAUUAAAAUUUGAAGAAAUUGGGUAAAACGAGAAACAUACAUCAAAUUCAAUAGGGGCUAAUCAAAUUCCGUAAGGAUAUAGUUGAAUGCCGCACUGUUCCUUGUCCUCAAAUUCCCGUAGCUUUUGUCUCAGCUCUGGCUGAGGCCACCAGCAAUCGAACUUGUUUAAGCUCUUUAUGCACCAGAGCUGUUCAGGCAUCUUUUUCAAGUAAGCACAAGGGUUGAUAAUCAAGCAUUCUAGUUUUGGCAUGGCUCCAAUCCCCAUAGUCCACUCCCCUAGCCAUAGCAUUGAUUUCAGGUGCAAUACCUUGAGAUUUGGAAAACCAUAAGAGCCACAAGUCAGCUUUCUACCUUGUGAAGAAAGCUCAUUGUGCUGAACUGAGAAAAGAGAGGAAGUCAGAAGCUAAGGUUCAUCAGCAAUGCCACGUCAACAAUGCUGAGUCAGCUGAUUCUGUUAAGCAACAAUGAGAGCUCACGUGUGUUGCAGUUAGUUAGUAUUAGCUAACCUCUUACUGAUUAGUUAGUUAAAUUUCAGAGUAAUAUAGAUUAGUUGAUAUAGCUUUUACUAACAAAAUAUGUAACUAUAUAAAGUCUGGAGUUUUACUCAUUUGUUAUUAAUAAUAAACAAUCCAGUAUAUUCAUCAUAUUUCUCUCUGUUUUCUUAGUAACCAAACAACAUUUUCGAUUCAAUUUUUCAUGGUAUCAGAGCUAGAAAUAUGGCAAGCUCAAGCAAUUUAAACACAAAUCCAAACGCAACAAACAUGAAUCAAUCAAUACAAACUACCUUUUCAUUUAUUACGCCAAUCAAAUUGGAUAGAUCCAAUUAUAUGCUCUGGCGAAAUCAAGUAUUAGCUUCCAUAAGAGGAAACAGACUCGAAGGCUAUAUCAAUGGAGAAAAAGCAGCACCUACUCAGUUUCUUACUUCUGGAAGCUAUGCUGAAACAAUGGGAAGAGUUUCACAACAAGUUGAAAAUCCAGAAUACACGAUCUGGAGAUCACAGGAUCAAACAUUACUAAGCUGGCUAUUAAGCUCAAUUACUGAAGGUAUUCUCAGUCAUGUUCAUUCUUGUAAUACUGCAUAUGAUGUGUGGAAAACUUUGGAGAAAAAGUUUGGUGCAAAAUCAGAAGCUAGAGUUCUUCAACUCAAAUAUGAGAUGAGUGUUUUGAGAAAAGAUUCGCUAAAUAUAGAGGAUUAUUGUUUGAAAAUGAAACAAAUAGCUGACAAAUUAACCUGUGCUGGUAGUCCAGUUUCUGAUAAAGAUCUGUUACAACAGAUUCUUAAUGGUCUUGGACCAGGCUAUCUAGAUUUAGCAACUUUCAUUACUGCAAGUAAGCUGGAUUUUGAUGAUUCAUAUGCAUUGCUAUUGACACAUGAAACAAGAUUAGAACAGAGUCUAAAUGAAAAACAGAUGCUCAAUGCAAAUCUUGCUAAUGUUUCUCAUAAUAACAAUAGCUAUGGUAUGAUGAAUGCUUAUUAUGCUCAAACAAGAGGUAAUGCUCGAAGAGGUGGAUAUAAUGGAGGAUUUCAUGGUGGAAAUCAAUUUGGAAGGAAUAAUUUUCAUACUGGAAAGGGAAUGUUUAUCAAUUCUCAUCCAAGAGGAUUUCCUUCUGGAUCUGGAAAUUUUGGUAAUAAUCUUGGUAGAGGUCAAAUGAUUGGAAACAACAAUAAGCAGACACAAUUCAUGAGAGGACAAUAUAGUAUUAACUCUGGUUUGUCAAAUCCUGAUGGUAGUGAUGAACAAUCUGUUGUUUGUCAAAUCUGCUUUAAAACUAGACACACAGCAGCUGAAUGUUGGCAUAGGUUUGAAGAAAACUAUAUGCCUCAACACAUGAAAAGAGGAAGAAAUCAGAGAUCAGCCUAUAUGACAUACCUUACUGCACCUUCUGAAGACUCAUGGCCUGCUACAGCUGCUUAUUCAGGGAUACCUCACAUGUAUAAUCCACCAUGUUCUUCAUACAUAUCUGAUUCAAUGAGCUUGCCUGUGGCUGGAGCUGGAGCUGCUUAUGCUGCUAACUUUGAAGGACCAGCAGAUGAAGGAUGGUAUCUUGACAGUGGAGCUACACACCAUCUGACAAAUGAUAUGGCAAAUAUGCAUGUCAGCAGUGAGUUCAGAGGUAAUGACAAGCUUAUCAUUGCUGAUGGUAAAGGUCUGUCAAUCACACAUGUUGGUAAUGCCAAUUUUAAAGUUCAAAGCUCUAAAACACAAUCUGCUAGUACAUGCAUUGCACUUAAAGAUAUACUGCUUGUUCCAUCUAUUACAAAGAACCUAAUAAGUGUUUCUAAACUCACCACUGAUAAUGACUUAUCUGUUGAAUUUCUUGGUUCUGUUUGCUUUGUGAAGGAUAUACUGAAAGGGAAAAUUCUGCUACUGGGUAUUGCUGAGAAAGGUUUAUACAAAUUGCAGCUGAGUUCAUCACCACAACCUACAUAUACAUCUUUUCUAUCCCAGAGUUCAAUAAAUAAGCCUGUAUCUAUGCUAUCUCAGUGUCAUUUCAGCACUUCAGUCAAUAGUCAUUGUUCUGGAAAAUAUUCUCAGUCCAAUAAGAACACUUGUAGCACUGAUUCAUUCAAUAAAAUGUCUUUGUUUCACAAAAGAUUUGGUCAUCCUAAUACUCAAAGUCUAAUUCAUUUACUUAAGCUUGUGCAUCCUAAUUUGUGCUCUACAAAUAUUGUUAAUCAAGCAACAAAGCAUUUCUGUGAAGCAUGUCAGCUGGGAAAAUUUCACAGACUCCACUUUCCAAUUACAGAUAUAAAAUCCAAAUCAGCACUAGAACUUGUUCAUAUUGAUUUAUGGGGUCCCUCACCAGUAUGUUCUAGAGAUGGUUUUAGAUAUUACAUUAGCUUUGUGGAUGAUUAUACAAGAUACACCUGGAUUUAUCCUUUGAAACUGAAAUCAGAAGCUCUAGAAGUGUUCAAACUGUUUAAACUUCAAGUUGAAAAUCAAUUUCAAACAACUAUCAAAAUUCUCCAAUCUGACUGGGGGGGAGAAUACAGGCCAUUCACUGCCUUCCUAAAUGAAUGUGGCAUUCUCUUUAGACAUUCUUGCCCUUACACUCACCAUCAAAAUGGCCUUGUUGAGAGGAAACACAGACAGAUUGUAGAAUUAGGAUUGACACUUCUAGCUCAAGCCAAACUCCCUUUUCAAUUCUGGUGGGAUGCUUUUCAUGCCUCAGUUUAUCACAUUAAUAGACUCCCUACUUCUGCACUUAAGAUGACCACUCCAUAUGAAAAACUUUACAAACACAAAGCUGAUUAUACCAUGCUGAAAUGCUUUGGAUGUGCUUGUUAUCCAUAUCUGAGAGAUUACAAUAAGCAUAAGUUUGACUAUCACACAACCAAGUGCAUCUUUCUUGGUUACAGCCCAUUUCAUAAAGGUUAUAAGUGUUUUCAUCCCUCUGGUCAUAUAUAUAUAGCUAGGCAUGUUGUUUUUGAUGAAUACUCAUAUCCAUUUGCUUCAGAUCCUAGCUUUCAUCCUUCAGAUAAAUCUAAGUCUGAUACAUAUUGCACAAUUACUCCUAUUCAAGUUUUUCAGUUGUCAACAUUACCUGUCAUAUCAGAUCUUUCAGUCACCAGCAAUGAAUCUUUUUCUCAAGCAUACUCCAGUGGCAACAUUUUCCCUCCAGCAGUAGUCUCAACACAGGUAACAGAUCAGCAACCCUCAAACACAGAUAGAAAUAAUUCAUCUGCACCUACAGUGUUGCCUUCUGUACCUGAUACAAUAUUAGAUCAGCCCUCAGAUGAAAUUUCCCAAAACCAACACAAUAAUAAUACCUCUCAUCUCAAUCAGACAGUGAUAACCCCACCACCAUUAAACCAACAUCCUAUGAUCACUAGAGGGAAAGCAGGUAUCUUUAAACCAAAGGUAUAUACUGCAGUAUUGUUGCAUAAAGAACCAGAUACUGCUCAGGAGGCUAUAAAUGAUGAGAGAUGGUUUCAAGCAAUGAAGACUGAAUAUGAUGCACUGAUGUCAAAUGGUACCUGGACACUUGUGCCAAGAACAGAACAUCACAAACUUGUUGGUAACAAAUGGGUGUUUCGAGUAAAAUCAAACACUGAUGGAAGUGUUGCAAAAUAUAAGGCAAGGUUGGUUGCUAAAGGAUUUCAGCAGAUAGAAGGAGUUAACUACUUUGAGACUUUCAGUCCAGUGGUGAAAGCAGCAACAGUUAGAGUGGUCCUAAGCUUAGCAGUAAUGAAUCAAUGGCAAAUAAGACAGGUUGAUGUAAAUAAUGCAUUCCUAAAUGGAGAUCUAAUUGAGGAGGUAUAUAUGAGUCAACCAGAAGGGUUUAUUGAUUCCAAAAGGCCUGAUUUUGUGUGCAAACUUCACAAGGCACUCUAUGGUUUGAAACAAGCUCCACGAGCAUGGUUUGACAAGCUGAGAAACAGUCUUAUGCAAUGGGGAUUUGAGAACUCAAAGUCUGAUUCAUCUUUGUUCUUGAAGAAGAAUAAAAGAUCAAUUAUUUUAAUCCUGAUAUAUGUAGAUGAUAUAUUGAUUACAGGAUCAAAUGGUGAUGAGCUGGAAGAUUUUAUCAAGCUAUUUAGUUCUGCAUUUGCAUUAAAGGAUCUGGGAAAGCUAUCUUACUUCCUUGGAAUAGAAGUCUUGUAUGAUACUGAUAGUGUAUAUCUAUCACAAAGGAAGUAUAUUAGAGAUCUGCUGGCUAAAGUUGAUAUGCUCGAGUGUAAAGGAAUAGACACACCAAUGAGCAGCAGCAAAGAUUACAGAUUGCAGAAGAGUGUUGAAGGAGAAAUGGGUUACUACAUAGAAGAUCCAUCUCAUUACAGAAGCAUAGUAGGAGGCCUCCAGUAUUUAGUUUUGACAAGACCUGAGAUUGCCUACUCUGUUCAUAAGCUAAGUCAGUAUGUAGCUUCACCAACACUUCAACAUCUUAUGGCUUGUAAACGUGUGCUUAGAUAUCUUAAGGAAACACAAGACUAUGGGCUGAAAUUUGUUAAAGAAGGUGAGUUGAAGGUUACAGCAUUUACAGAUGCAGAUUGGGGAAGUGAUCUUGAUGACAGAAGAUCCACUGGUGCCUAUUGUGUGUAUCUAGGGAACAAUUUAAUCUCAUGGUCCUCAAAGAAGCAAUCUGUAGUUACAAAAUCUUCUGCAGAGAGUGAAUACAGAGCACUUGCAGCAGCUGUUUCAGAGAUAACAUGGUUAAAAUCCUUAUUUCUUGAGAUUGGUUUAUGUUGUGUGGAGAAACCAGUUAUAUGGUGUGACAAUGUGAGUGCCAAAGAACUUGCUUAUAAUCCAGUGUUUCACUCAAGAACAAAACACAUAGAAAUUGAUCUGCAUUUUAUCCGAGAUAAGGUUCUAGCUGGAGAUCUUAAGAUUCUCUAUGUUCCCAGUGCAGAGCAGAUAGCAGACAUAAUGACUAAGCCUUUAAACUCUACUCAGUUCACCUAUCUGAGAGACAAACUUAAUGUGCAUUUAUGCCCCUUGAGUUUGAGAGGGGCUGUGAAGAAAGCUCAUUGUGCUGAACUGAGAAAAGAGAGGAAGUUAGAAGCUAAGGUUCAUCAGCAAUGCCACGUCAACAAUGCUGAGUCAGCUGAUUCUGUUAAGCAACAAUGAGAGCUCACGUGUGUUGCAGUUAGUUAGUAUUAGCUAACCUCUUACUGAUUAGUUAGUUAAAUUUCAGAGUAAUAUAGAUUAGUUGAUAUAGCUUUUACUAACAAAAUAUGUAACUAUAUAAAGUCUGGAGUUUUACUCAUUUGUUAUUAAUAAUAAACAAUCCAGUAUAUUCAUCAUAUUUCUCUCUGUUUUCUUAGUAACCAAACAGCAUUUUCGAUUCAAUUUUUCAUACCUGAAUACGAGUUUUGCUUCAGUUUGAGCACUUGAAGAAGCGGCAGCUUUUCUAGUGUUGGCAUGGGAUCAUCCAUUAGGUCAGUAUUAGAAAAACUCAAGUGGGUUAGACUAUGAGGAAAUAGGUAUUCAGCAAGGACGAUUUUGGAGAGCCGUGGCAUCUUGCUUUCAUUCACCAGCUUCAACGACUCGAGACAGCUCAAUCUGCAGAGACUUUUGGAAAACAAAGAUUGAUUAUAACUUAAAUCUCCCCGUAUUCGGAGAUUUCGAAGAUUAGGUAGUCUGCCCAAUAUAUCUUCAGUACAGCAGCAAGGAUGCAAGGCAGAAAUGAAAUUGAGAUUUUCCAGAGAGCCGCAAUAUUUUCCUGGAUGCGCAGGAAGUGUGAUUGACCCAAAAUUUAGAUGCCUGAGUUUUUUCAUCUUCCAAAAUUCAUCUGCUGUAUGAUCUAUAUAGCUAAUGGGCAUGUCUAGGGUGUAGAGGUUCAGAAGAUUGCUUAACAAUGAGGAAGGCAGGCUUUUGAGGGAAGGGAUAUUCAACUUCAAAUAUCUCAAAAGAAAUAAAUUUUCAAUUCCGGAUGGAUACUGGAUGAGAACAAGAGAUUCCAAGUCCAAUACUCUGAGAAGUUUGAACAUUCCACAAAUGUUCUCCCAAUCCAUGGGGUCAAAGUGGCGGGUUUCUGGAGAGCAGAACAACAAAGACUGCAGUUGCGAGUCAUAAUCAUCUAAGCAAGCAAAAUCACCCUCUCUUUCAACAGCGUUUAACCGUUUGGCAUUUUUUUGUGAUUUACCUUCUGGAUCCAUGAAAGGGGAAAAGAUAAAUUCCACCCUAUAAGGAACUGUCAUCAACACAGGAUGGCAACGACCUGGAAUAGAGCAUGUGUUGAUAGUGCCUGCAGCUUUUCUCUUCUUUGCUUCAACAAAGCCUCCCUUGAUUAGUUGUUCUAAGUAAUUCUCAGCAGUUGCCUCACUAUUGUCUGGGAUGAAACCUUCAGCUAUCCACAACUGAUAUAACUGCCUGGUGGAUAUCUCUAGGUGUGCGGGAAACACAGAUAAGUAGAGAAAACAAAGUUUCAAGCAAAAAAGUAACCUGCAAUAUUUGAAGUACCGAAGGACAAAGGGUGUCUCGAAUACUUCCUCUAUAUUUUCUUCAAAUGAGAUGCUUCCAUGAUAUAAGAUGAGGAAAGGCCAUCCUUUAUAUGUAGCUCUCAAUGGUCCUCCAGUUGGCACUGAAUCAAGCCGAAUGUUCUCUCCGUCUUCGAGCUGAAAUGAGGUGACCAUCUUAAUUUGAGUGAGUGUUAUUAAUACUCUACUUCUAUUCUGAUUAUCCGGGAGUAUUUCUCGAAUAAUAUCCCUUACUUCAAUGUUCCACACAUCAUCAAUCACAAUCAAAUACCGCUUGGUCAUUAGAUAUUCAUGAAGAAUAAUUUUUUUCAUUUCAUAAUUUUUAUCCUUUAUUUCACUCAACCUAGAUCAAGGCAUCAGAAACUUAAUAAUGAUAUCUAAUAUUUGGUCCGCUUCAUACGGACAAGGCUCCUGAAUCCCAGUGUGACAAUCAAAAUAAUGCUUCACAUAACUGCUGUUGUAAGCCUCUCCGGCAAAAGCCGUCUUGUCCAACCCAAUGCUAUCAAGUAUGGCCACCACUGAAAGCUGAGGUGGUCCCUCGAUCAAUAGAUCUAACAACUCCUCCAUUCUAUCAUCUAGACCCACCAUGUCCCUACUUUUAGAAGAUGAAGAUAUACCGGCUUCAGCUUCCAGAUUUUUGAAGGCAUGAAAGAUUUCGGAAUCGAUGUGCGGAACUUGUUGAGUCCGUUGUUUUAUAUCAAUGAUUCUGCUUUGGAGUCCUAGCAGAGCAUCACAGAUGUCCUUGCUGCAGCUGCUUUGACUCUUCUGUUGAGUGAUGCUGUUGAUGAAUGUGUCAAUCACCUUCUCAGAUUCACAGGUAAAGCAAAUGAUUUCGUCCAUGACGGUCGCCAGAUCUGGGUUGUCAAUUUCAACUUCUCCUAUUUGUUGCAUCAGAAGCCAGGACGUUUCAUAUUCAAAGUCCCUCAGCCAAGAAGUAACGAUUUCAACCUCGGCAAGAAGGUUCUGAAUAGGUAGUUUUGCAGCAUCAGGCAACGUGACUUCUUCAUCAGCUAACACCCUUCUCAGCCUCUCUGAAAAUAGUCUGAAGUUGAUGUCCAUAUCUUCUCCUCUCUCAGUACCACCCUGUAAUCAGUCCUGUAGCAUGCAAAGAAAUAGUUAAAAACAGAGAGUUGGAAAGAAACUAUGCUUUAAAGCUCCCCUACCUCCGUUCUCUUAGCUAGUACUCCAUUCAAGAAAUUGAAUCGAGAUUGUUGACUCUCAAAUUAGAACAGAUCAAGGCAGAGCAGUGCCGUAAAUGAAUCUUACAAUACACUGUUCUCCAUAUGUUGUAAAAAGAAUAAAGCAGAAGAGAAUAAAUAGGUCUUGAUCAAGGAUCAAUCAAGACCAAUAUGUAUUAUACAUCCACUUUCAAGAAAGAAAAGGUCAAACCAAUUCCACCGGGACCAUAAAGCCUAUUUGAAAAGAAAAGAACAGAGCAAGAUCGUUAAUAAUUUAAGCUGUGGAAAAAUGCAAAAUCACGUCAACCACUUUCACUGGCGUGCAAAAGUUUUUAUGUAUCCACUGAAACAUUUAUUGUUGCUGAAUGAAAUGAUCUUAGGUUGACCUACACAACUCUUUCUUUCAGUACUCCAGUAGUGCAAGCAUGUCAGUUUAGUCAAUAGUUUCUCCUACACAUAAAUGAUGUUUAUUAUAGAAUUUUGAUAAUGGGUACAAUAAGAAAGUAGUUGCAGAGAAAAUAUUGGGGGUUGAUGUGAUAUCUAUUGACUUGGAGCAUAAUAAAUAAUUACAAAAUCAUUGUUUGUCUUUUAAUUUUCAUCAUACUCAUUAAAAAAGUAUUAUGAUUACAUAGUCAGUGAUUUAUAUUCACAGAAGACAAAAGUAAUGAAUAAAUAAGCUACCACUUGCAAUUAAUAAAAUGCUAACCCUAUCUGGUAAGGUAGCCCUGUUCAUUGAAAGCAAAAGCAACAGAAUCGUUCACUGUGCUGCCACAAAAUGAUUGUCAUGGAAGGCACCAAAGUUUCCAAGUAACAGACAAAGUCGAAGUAGUUAGCACUAUGAGGCGAGGCUGAAAAACUUGUUCCUCACGGUAAAUAAUUUUUAAUAACGACCUACUGCUAAUCAUUGUGUUUGUUAAUCUCUGCCUUAUGCCUUAGCUUUAACAGCACCUCCAUGUAAUCCUCUCAACCCAGUACACGGGAUCAGAGUCAGGCAAGCAUGAAGUUCAUCAGUAAUCAAAUCUCUUCGGUAAAUAAACAAAGCAUAUUGAUUGAGUGCCUCAGUGUAGCAACUGGAGUGCUUAAAACCAGAGAUACCUCAGUUGCUGCCCAAUAUCACAAUCCAAUCAAUCAAGAUGCUACCAAGAAUGAACUGAUUUGAAGUUCAAUUGAAAAUGGAAUUGAAACAAGAUGAUGAUGAAAGAACAGAAAGCAAUUAAGAUCAAAUUGAAUCAAAGAAUUGAAAGAACCAACAGAGGACAAAUCGAUUCAACGUGGUUCAGCUAAUUUGCAUUAGUUUGCAUCCAUGGGAGGAAAUUUCUGAUCAGUUUUUAUUGAUUCUUCAAGAUGCAUUACAGAGUACAAAGCAAGGAACAAGAUGUAUUACAUAACGCGAGUUAGCUAACUCUAACGAACGUAAGCAGCUUUCUACAAGCACGUGAGAUGUCCGUGCUUCAUUAAGCAGCUUUCUAGCCUUUUACUAGACGUGGUUUCAUUUUAUUGAACCAUUAGAGGGACACAUCAGUAGUCACAAAAAUGCCCCUGUAAUGGCAAUCCUUGUAAUCAUUUGGCUGCCGCUCUUCAUUCCACUCCCAAGUACGCAGCCCAAACUUCAACUUUCUCUGAGAAGGUAAUGAAGCGUGGCUCUGUCUCAGUAAUCUGUCUUUCAUAUUCCAUGAAAUGAGCCAAAGGAGGAAUGCUUCUAUAAUUAGUAGCAACCACCAAUCAUAUUGAAGGAAUUUUCUGCAACAGAUAAAGAAAGAGCAGCAGAGAACAAAGCUGUUAAUCAAUCAACACAUGUAAAGCAGUAUUAGUAUUUCUGCCUUAUUGUAGUGCCUAAGCGGGUAUUAGGAUUUCUUCACAAGAACGUUUACUAAGAUAUUCAGCCAAGUAUGAAGUUCAUCAAUAAUCAAUCUUUUCUGGAAAUAAACGAAGCAUAUCGAGUGCCAAACUUGCCCAGCCUUUGAAACAGGAUUUCAGAGAAAGCAACAGAACAAAGACAGAAAAUACAUUCAACUGAGCCCAACACCAGAAAGCAUCAUAAAUAUUAUUUAUUUUUUGUACACAAUUAACGAAACCAUGGCCGAAGCACAAAACAAUGAACUCUCAACUGAAAAUCCUAAGCGAAAUUUCUUAUUUAUGGAUAGACAGCUGAAACAAAGAAACCAAAAAAAAGUCCACCACCGUAGGAUCAGGAUUUAUUUGUGUAGACAGCAGAAGUGAAGACAGAAAGGAUUCUGGUUGGAAUUGAAGCUCGGGCUGCAGUUAUGAUGUUUUCUGCUCUGAUUUCACCUACACAAGUCAUUGAAGAAAUUGUGAAAAAUAAGAUUUUUUAAUUACAUUUUUUUGUCUUAACUAUUAAAACAAAUGAACGCGAUAUCUGCUAGGCUCAUGGUUGAAUAUACAAGGGUACUUAAGUCUCCACUUCUGCUAAAGAGGGCUUGAUGAUUGGGGUGAGUAUCGGAAACUCUAAAAGGUACUCAAUGUUGAGACAAAUUAGAAGAAAACACUUUGUAUAACCAUCUUUAUAUUGAAGAGAAGGGAAAAAAAAAGUAUAUGAAAUUGGAUAAAUAAUUAAAAGUUGAAUAAAUUGGUUAAAACGAGAAACAUACAUCAAAUUCAAUGGGGGCUAAUCAAAUUCCAUAAGGAUAUAGUUGAAUGCCGCACUGUUCCUUAUCCUCAAAUUCCCGUAGCUUUUGUCUCAGCUCUGGCUGAGGCCACCAGCAAUCGAACUUGUUUAAGCUCUUUAUGCACCAGAGCUGUUCAGGCAUCCUUUUCAAGUAAGCACAAGGGUUGAUAAUCAAGCAUUCUAGUUUUGGCAUGGCCCCCGUCCCCAUAGUCCACUCCUCUAGCCAUAGCAUUGAUUUCAGGUGCAAUACCUUGAGAUUUGGAAAACCAUCAGAGCCACAAGUCAGCUUCCUACCUGAAUACGAGUUUUGCUUCAGUUUGAGCACUUGAAGAAGUGGCAGCUUUUCUAGUGCGGGCAUGGGAUCCUCCAUAAGUUCCGUAUUAGAGAAACUCAAGUGGGUUAGUCUUGGAGGAAAUUGGUACUCAACAAGGACAAUUUUGGAGAAAGCUGGCAUCUUGAUUUCGUUCACCAACUUCAAUGACUCGAGGCAGCUCAAUCUGCAAAGACUUUGGGACAACAAAAAUUGAUAAUAACUUAAAUCUCCCCAUAUCCGGAGAUUUCGAAGAUUAGGUAGUCUGCCCAAAAUGUCUUCAGUACAGCAGCAAGGAUGCAAGGCUGAAAUGAAAUUGAGAUUUUCCAGAGAGCCGCAGUAUUUCCCUGGAUGCGCAGGAAGUGUGAUUGACCCAAAAUUUAGAUGCCUGAGUUUGUUCAUCUUCCAAAAUUCAUCUGCUGUAUGAUCUAUAUAGCUAAAGGGCAUGUCUAGGGUGUAGAGGUUCGGAAGAUUACUCAAUAAUGAUGGAGGCAGGCUUUUGAGGGAAGGGAUAUUCAACUUCAAAUAUCGCAAAAGAAAUAAAUUUUCAAUUCCAGACGGAUAUUGGAUGAGAACAAGAGAUCCCAAGUCCAAUACUCUGAGAAGUUUGAACAUUUCACAAAUUUUCUGCCAAUCUAUGGGGUCAAGGUGGUCGCUUUCUGAAGUGAAGUACAACAAAGAAUGCAGGUGCGAGUCAUAAUCAUCUAAGUAAGCAAAAUCACUCUGUUGUUCUAAAGCGUAGAAACGUUUGACAUUUUUUUGUGAUUUACCUUCUGUAUCCAUGAAAGGGGAAAAGAUAAAUUCCACCUCGGAAGCCACUCCUAACAAUACAGGACGGCAACGACCGGGAAUAGAGCAUGUGUUGAUUGUGCCUCCAGCUCUUCUCUUAUUUGCUUCGACAAAGCCUCUGUUGAUUAGUUGCUCUAAGUACUUCUCAGCAGUUGCCUCAUUAUUGUCUGAAAUGAAACCUUCAGCUAUCCACAGCUGAUAUAACUGCCUGGUGGAUAUCUCUAGGUGUGCGGGAAACACAGAGAAGUAGAGAAAACAAGGUUUCAAGACAAAAGGUAACAUACAAUAUAUGACGCAUUGAAGCCCAAGCGACAUGGUCAAUACUUCGUCUAUAUUUUCUUCCAAUGAGAUGCUUCCAUGAUACAAGAUGUGGAAAGGCCAUCCUUGGUAUGUAGCUCUCAAUGGUCCUCCAGUGGGCACAAAAUCAAGUCCAAUGUUCUCUCCGUUUUCGAACUGAAAUGAGGUGACAAUCUCAAUUUGAGCGAGUGUUAUUAAUACUCUACUUCCAUUCUGAUUAUCGGGAAGUAUUUUUCGAAUAACAUCCCAUGCUGAUAUUCUCCACACAUUAUCAAAAACAAUCAAAUACCGCUUGGUCAUUAGAUAUUCACGAAGAAUAUUUUUUUUCAUUUCAUAAUUUUUAUCCUUCAUUUCACUCAGUCUAGAUGAAGGCAUUAGAAACUUAAUAAUGAUAUCUAAUAUUCGGUGAGCAUCAUAGCUGUGAGGCUCUGGAACCCAAGCGUGACAAUCAAAAUAAUGCUUCACAUAGUUGCUGCUGUAAGCCUCUGCGGCGAAUGCCGUCUUGUCCAAUCCAAUGCUAUCAAGUAUGGCCACUGCUGAAAGUUGAGGUGGUCCUUCUAUCAAUAGAUCUAACAACUCCUCCAUUCUAUCAUCUAGACCCACCGUGUCCCUAUUCUUAGACGAUGAAGAUGCAGGAAAAUUGCCGGCUUCAGCUUCAAUUGAUUUGAGCUCAUCAAUGAUUCCGGAAUCGAACUGCUGAACUUGUUGCAUCCGUUGUUUUAUAUCAAUGAUUUUGCUUUGGAGUCCUAGCAGAGCAUCACAAAUGUCCAUGCUGCGCCCGCUUUGACUCUUCUGUUGAGUGAUGCUGUUGACGAAUGUGUCAAUGACCUUCUCAGAUUCAUACGUAAAGCAAUUGAUUUCAUCCAUAACGGUCCCAAGAUCUGGGUUGUCAAUUUCAACUUCUCCUAUUUUUUGCAUCAGAAGGCAGGAGAUAUCAUCUUCAAAUUCACUCAGCCAAGAAGUAACGAUUUCAACCUCCGCAUGAAGGUUCUGAAUAGGUUGUUUUGCAGCAUCAGGCAACGUGACUUCUUCACCAGCUAACACCCGUCCCAGCCUCUCGGAAAAUAGUCUGAAGUUGAUGUCCAUAUCUCCUCCUCUCUCUGUGCCUAGUGGUCCUAACAUUCAAAUUGAGACAUAAUUGAGAGAGACAAUGAUUAAAAGAUUUUAAAAAAUAAUAAUAAGAAAUCUUUAUGUCUCUCAAUUCAAACAUUAACCAGCAUUAAUUGUUGAUGAAACUCUACUCAGAACCAUAUGCCUGAUACCUCCUUCUCUAAUUAAUCCUGCCGAGUGUUGCCAUUCAAAAAGUUAAAUCAUGAUUGCUGACAGUCAAAUUACAAGAGAUGAAAGGCAGAGUGCUGGAAAUGAAUCUUAUAUCCUCAUGUUGAGUAUGCAUUCUCAACCAAGAUUGGUGACCAAUCAUUACGUAAAACGAAUAGAAAGAAAAAUUUUAUAAAAUGCAAAUUAGCUUGGAAAGAUUCUACCUAGAAACCAUCAUGUGACAAAUUAAUCUCUUUGUCAACGCAUUUCUAAAUGUAAUAUAAUAAGUUUCGUCCUGGAAAUGAGCAAGAUGAUGCUUGUACUCAAAAUAAGCUAAGCUAGCCUUCAAUUUUUUUUUUUUUUAAUUUCCCCCUUUUUAUCUGAUUUGUCAUCAUAUGAAACGUGUGAGGAAAAACAUAACUUGUAAACGAGAAUCAAAUGCAAAUAAAUCGUGAACCUAACAUUCAUGAUAUAAAAAUAAUAAAAUGGAGUUAUUUUGUGGAUAAUUCAAAUAUUAAACUACCUGUUUUUUCUUGAAGUGAUCACAAACUUCAAUAUCCCGACGAUAUAUAUCUUAUUUUGAUUAAAAAACAACACAAUCAAAUUAUUACAUAGAAAGAAUAGGAAAAACAAAGCUGAAUUUUAUUUAAAUUGGGUAUUGAUAGAUGAAUGAUUUUGUUAGAAUUGAAAAUGAUCGUGCAUGUGAAAGAAAAAUAAGUUCAGAGAAAAAUAAAAGAUCAAGAUCAUUUAAACUUUACUUGUAAGUAAAGGAAAAUAUCUUGGUUCAAGAAAAGAAAGAGAUACCAAACUCACAAAAUGGAAAAGGAGAAAGGUUAAACAAAGACUUAGUUCAAAGAAAAGAACAUGAUGCUGGUGUCCUGUCAUCUUUUUUUUUUUAUAAUUAAUUUUCAUUUUUCUUUUUCCAAUUUUUGUUUUUCCAAUCCAAAAAAUGAACGCAAUAUACAUUUGCUAACUGGGAAAAAAGUCAUUUUGUCUCAAAAUAAAAUGACAAUAUAUCAUGAUUACAAGAUGUCUUGUGUUGGGUUCAGUUAUUCCAUGUGAGCCAACCACCCAUGUUGAGAAGAUGAGCGACUUUUAAGGGGAAUAAAACUGUCUGCCUCCCGAGGGGUAUUUAAGAAAACAGUGUACACCAGAAGUGGGGGAUCAAAAGAAGGAAUGAAAAAAGAAAAUUAAUCUUCCAUCGUAGAGAAUGAGAGAAAAUUUAUAUUAUUUCAUCUUUUUUUUUAGGGAUAUUAUCAUUUUUCUACCAAAAGUAUUCUGACACAUUAUGUCAGUACCACGGUUUGGUAAAACUAUCAAUUUACCACCAAACGUUUAAACUGUUAGCAUUUAAUAAAUAAAUUUGCCCUUUAAAAAUUAAAUAAAUUAAAUCAAUUUAUGAAGUACCUAGCACCACACAGUCAAUUUUACAAAAUUCAUGAAGGGUAAUUUUUGCCCUUUAAGAAGGAAAAACACCAAAUGAUGAUUUAAUUACAAAAUUCAUAAAAGGUUAUUUACACGGUCUUUUACACUCCAGGGGUAAAAUUGACCUUUUAUGAAUUUUCCGUUACAUAUUAAUUGAGUUUUAACGGAAUGGUGGGAAAAUGCUAACAGUUUAAAUAUUUGGUGGUAAAUUGAUGGUUUUACCAAACCGUGGUACUGACAUGAUGUGUCAGACUACCUUUGGUGGGAAAAUAAUAAUAUCCUUUUUAUUUUUAUUUUGCUUGAGUUAUUUCCUUAUAGUCAACUAUUUAAUUUGCUUCAAAUCUAACUUAAGCAUAAGAGAGUUCUCGCCGGAUCCCCCACCGGUGAGUCGUGACCGGUUUUUGUAGUUUUCAGGCUGCAGAUUUAAGUUCAUAUCAACAUUCAAAUUUUGUUCGUACUAGUUUUCGACUCGAAACAAAUUCAGUUGUUGAGCUCAUUUUUCGACAUCAACAACUUGGACAUUCUUAAGAUAGCAAAAUCAAUAAACUCAACAUUAUGUUACUGGCUAAAGAGUGAAGAAACCAUAAGAAUCCAAUGACAACCAAAGCAGAAGGAUCAAUUUUAAUACAAAAGGGAAUUCCUCUGCUGCAAACAAGGGCUUUGAUGUGAUUGUAAGGAAUUGAGAGUGAGCAGCAGCACAUCCUCUCGCCAUCAACUUCAUUGCACUGCAUUACAAGGCAAAUGUGAAAACGAUUACAGCUGCCCUUUAUUCUCUUAGUGCAAUUGGGCUGCUAAUCAACCAAUAGAGAAAGAAUUCAGUCAUCAAUUCUAACAAAGCUUCCAAAACCUGCAACGCUACAACUAAAUUUUAAAUCUUCCACUUUCAGAACUUUACUCGUUAAAUCUCCUUUUCAAUUCUACCUAGUCCUUACUGGAUCCUUAAAGUCACCAAGGAUUAGUGAUGGUUUUUUAUUUUACAAGGGCUGCUGGACAACCCAGAUUGACGAGGGCUAAAAUCUCCAUAUAUUUGGAGGCUAUGAAGAUUAGACAAUAUGCCCCAGUUUUUUUUUGUUGUUGUGUUUAAUCCUCUGUUAGUACCAAGAUCACACACCUAAGACCCUCUUUGACGUAUCAAGAAUCAUUCCCAGAAACCCAAACUCAAAAUUGAAUCAAAGUGCCUACAUCCACUGAAGAACAAGGACCAUUUCAUAAUCAUUCCAAGAAUAUACAACUUUUUCUCUUUAACUCUCUCUUUCUAUGGCUUUGAUGAGACAUGUGAAGAUGACCCAACAACCAGCCAUAUAAACUACAAUAAAGGCUAUUUCCAACAAACCCGAAAUUUCCCUGCACUUUUUUAACGAACCCCAACUGACUUUGGACCAGCAUUGUCGCCCUUACAAUGAACGACACGUCGGCGAAAUUCCAAAAAAUCGAACGACAAUAUCGUUCUGUCAGUUUUAAGAUGAUGAGAUGUGAUCACAGCACAAACAUUUUUCGUCUCACUAAAGUAAUGAGAUUGAACUGUACCACUACUCAAAAACUAGAAAAAUAAAAUAAAAUAAAAAACAAUAACAUAUAUGCAACUACAAUGUUGACAAAUUGAAUACACACCAGUGAACGUGAAAAUAUAAAGUAAAACAAGAAAAUGACAUAAUCCCUGAAAACAAAGAAACCAAACAAUUCUUAUAAGAAAAAAAAAAACCACACAAUUUCAGUGAAGGCUGGAUUCUUAUUGAAAUUGAAACUUUGGCUGCAGUACAGUUAAGAUAUUUUCCGCUCUGCUUUGACCUACACAUACAAGUAAUUGAAUAUCUUAUUUUACAGUUUUUCUUGAUUAUUUCAACAACCAAUACAUAAGGGUUCUGCCUCUUCUAUUAAUAAGGGAUUAAUGAUUAGUGUCAGUAUCGGGGAAUGUGAUGGACACUGAUACGAAUUUAUAUAUCAAAUUGGAGCCAUCAGAGGAGGCGCAAGUGGAAGAGCUCAACCAAGAACCCACAGUCAGUCAACCCAAGGAGGACAUUCACCAUGAGCUAGUGCAAGAGAAUCAACGGCCCAAACGAAACAAGAAACUUCCAGACUGGCUACGAGACUACGUCGUUUAGGAUGAUAUGUAAAAGCAUUGUGAUUGGCUGCGUUUGUUUUGGAUUCUUUUUUGUCAUUUUCUGUUGCGUUGUCAAAUUGGUUAUUUUCGAUUGUCUGUUAUAUAUUGCGGGAUUUUGUCAUUUUGGGAAGGCAUGAAAUGAAUGGACCACUUUUCUUCCUCUCUAUGACUCUUCUUCUUUUCUUCUUUCUCAUUUCUCAACUUCCAGUUCUUUCCUCUGGAGCAAACACUCGCUCGAAGUAGUGAUAAUUUUGAUAUUGCUCAGUUUCACGAAUUAAGAGCAUAUCACUGGUGCUUUCAUUGAUCAUGGCAAAUUCUGAAAUUCUUUUUGCUUUACAGACCUUUCAAGCAACUUUUGACGCCAAACUUGAUGGGCAACAACUGUCCAUCCAUCAAACAAUCUAACAAUUCAUGACAUCAGUUGACUCUCGUUUUGAGGAGUUACGUAUAGAAAUUCAUGGGUCUUCCAACAAACCAGUUGGUUCCUCCAACCCUUCACACCCUUCAUCUUCUAAAUAUGAUGGCGUUCUUCAUGGUUCUGAAGUUUCUCCAGUACUUCGUUCCAUGAAAAUGGAUGUGCCCAAAUUCGAUGGGUCUGACCCUACUGGAUGGAUUUUUCGAAUAGAAGAAUUUUUGACUUUCAUGACACACCUGAGAUCCUCUGACUACGGAUUGUCUCUUUUCAUAUGGAGGGUCGCGCUGCCGCGUGGUAUCAAUGGAUGAAGAACAAUCACUUGGUCACUACUUGGCAAGAAUUUUUAGCUAACUUGCGCUAUCGUUUUGGUGCUUCUUUGUAUGAAGAUCCCCAAGGUGAUUUGUCCAAAUUGAGCCAAACUACCACGGUUGCCGAUUUCCAGUCAGCUUUUGAAGAUUUAAUGAACAAGGUCACUGUAAUUUCUGAACCUCUUUUGAUUAUUUUUUUCAUCACUGGUUUGAAACCCAACAUUCGACGGGAAUUGUUUUUCUCUAGACCGUCUUCAUUAAUGGAAACUUUUGCCUUAGCUCGUGCUUUUGAGGCCAAAUAUGACGAAGUGAAACAGAGCUCACGCUCAUGGCCUAAAUGGCAGCAACCGUAUCCCCUUUCACCUGGUUUCCAAACACAACCCAAACCCAUUUAUCCAUCCUCUUCACCUGCAACUGUUACCACAGCCAUCACCCCCGUAUCAUCUUCAACUCUUCCCUCACAAACCCACAAUACCAAUAACUCCAACACUUUACCUGCAUUAUUACCGACACCAACAUUACCUAUUCACCAUUUGUCUCCAGCCGAACUUCGCGACAAACGCGAGAAAGGUUUAUGUUACGAUUGUGACAAAAAAUACAGCAGCAAUCAUCGCUGUCGCAGUAAAUUUCUACUUCUCAUGGGCAUGGAUGAUGAGGAAUUGGAACCCAAACAUAACGAGGAACCAUCAGAAUUGGUAGAUGCUGGUAUUACUGGUGACAUCUCUAGCUUAAAUGCUCUAGCAGGGCAGGCCAAUCCUCGCUCUCUUCGUUUAAUUGGAGAAAUUGCUUCGCACACCUUUCAAGUGCUGAUUGAUAGUGGCAGCACUCACAAUUUCAUAAAACCGGCGUUAGCGGAACGAUUGGGGUUAGCCAUUCAUCCCACUACCAAUUUCCGAGUGUAUAUUGGCAACGGUGACUUCCUGGUGUGUAAACAGUUCUGUCCUCAAGUGAACUUAACAAUGCAAGGCACGACUUUUAUGGUAGACCUCUUCAUUUUGCCAAUUGAGGGCACAGAUGUAGUCCUUGGCAUUCAAUGGCUACAGAAAUUGGGCAAAGUGUCCUAUGACUACUCUGCCCUUACCAUGGAGUUUUCUUUAAAUGAGCAACCAGUGAUGCUUCGUGGUGAUUUGUCUUCUAAUACUUUGAUCACUUAUAAUCAAUUGCAGGCAUUGGUUCAAAGUGAUACCGUGACCAGCCUUUGUGCUUUACAACCAGUGCCCGCCAUCGAUGCUUUGCCUUCAUUCUCCAUCACAGACACUUCCUCACUUGAAUUUCCUUCUUCCCUUCCUGCUCAAUUUCUCAACCUUUUACAGCAAUACAAACACCUAUUUCUCCAACCUUCUAGCCUACCACCACACAGAACUAUUGACCACAAAAUCCAUUUAUUACCCAACACAUCCCCCAUCAAUGUUCGUCCAUACCGCUACCCACACUUCCAAAAAUCUGAAAUGGAAAAACUGAUAAGGGAAAUGUCAGAGCAGGGCAUAAUUCGACCUAGCCAAAGCCCUUUUUCCUCCCCGGUUCUCUUGGUCAAGAAAAAAGAUGGCACCUAUCGGUUUUGUGUUGACUAUCGUGCAUUAAAUGCCGUAACCAUCAAAGACAAGUUUCCUAUACCGACAAUCGAUGAGUUGUUUGAUGAACUUGGGGGCGCCACCAUUUUUAGCAAAUUGGAUUUGCGCGUGGGAUACCAUCAAAUUCGUGUCCACAACCGCAACAUAUACAAAACGGCAUUUCGAACACAUGAGGGCCAUUAUGAGUUUCUCGUCAUGCCGUUUGGGUUGACAAAUGCCCCAUCCACUUUUCAAGCCACAAUGAAUCAGAUUUUUGCAGCUCAUCUCCGGAAAUUUGUGAUUGUUUUUUUUUAUGAUAUCUUGGUUUAUAGCUCCUCCAUGGCCGAGCAUUUGCUUCAUCUUGAGCAAGUAUUAGCUUGUUUACAUCUUCAUCAAUUUUUUAUUAAAUUAUCCAAAUGUUUGUUUUGCCAGGCCACUAUUGAGUAUCUAGGCCAUAUUGUUUCAGCCUCGGGAGUACAAGCCGACCCCCAAAAGAUUGAUGCCAUGCUUAACUGGCCAAGUCCACGUUCUAUCAAACAGUUGAGGGGUUUUCUUGGUCUCACUGGAUAUUAUAGGCGCUUCAUCCGUGGUUAUGCUUCCUUGGCAGCCCCCCUCACUGAUUUGCUGCGAAAGGAUGCCUUUCAAUGGAAUUUGACAGCCAUGGAGGCCUUUGAAGCUCUUAAACAAGCAAUGGUGCAAGCUCCAGUCCUUAAGUUGCCGAAUUUUGCUUCCGAAUUCGUCAUUGAGACCGAUGCUUCUAAUGUAGGCAUAUGAGCCGUACUUACACAACAUGGGCAUCCGAUUGCUUAUUUCAGCAAGAAGUUGGGUCCCAAAUUGCGGGCUUCUUCCACUUACAUCAAGGAGUUGCAUGCAGUUGUAGAACCUGUGUAUAAGUGGCGGCAGUAUUUGUUGGGCCGAUUCUUUGUUAUCCGCACGGAUCAUAAGAGUAUUAAAGAACUCCUUCAACAAGUGAUACAAACACCAGAUCAGCAAGUUUAUCUCCGUAAAUUAUUGGGUUUCCAAUUCCGAAUUGAGUACAGACCAGGCCGUACCAAUAGCGCUGCUGAUGCUCUAUCCCGUGUCCAUGAAUCAGCUCCUGAGGAUAACAUCAACAUCUCCCCCACUUGCCUUUCUUUUAACAGCCAUCCUUUAUUUGAAUUGCUGCAGUCAUUACUUAAUGAGAAUACCACAUUACCUGAUUUAAUAUCACUUCACCAGCAACUUUUACAAGGCAAACUGUCAGCUGACUUCUCCGUUCAAAACGGAUUUCUUCUCCACCGUCAGCGUUAUUACAUCAGUCCUACCUCCUCUUUAAAAGUCGUACUGUUGCAAGAAUUUCACUCUACGCCACUGGCAGGUCAUGUGGGUGUCACUAGAACCUUAAUCAGAUUAUCUUUAACAUUCUAUUGGCCCAAAAUGCGUCAUGAUGUGGAAACGUUUAUCCGAGAGUGUUUAAUAUGCCAGCAAACUAAGUAUUCCACUUAAGCCCCUGCUGGUCUUCUUCAACCAUUGCCGAUACCUAAUAUGGUUUGGGAUGAGGUCACAAUGGAUUUCGUUACAGGUCUUCCGUUAGCACAAGGUUUCUCGGUCAUAUUGGUUGUUGUCGAUCGUCUUACAAAGUUUGCCCAUUUUGGUCCGUUACCCUGUCAAUUUACUGCCCUCAAGAUAGCUGAACUCUUUGUGGACAUGGUCAUUAAAAUACAUGGUUUUCCAAUUUCAAUUAUCUCCGAUCGAGACCCAGUGUUCUUGAGCAAUUUUUGGAAACAAUUAUUCCUCUUAAGUGGCACAACUCUUCGUCAUAGCACGGCAUACCACCCUCAAACGGAUGGUCAAACGGAAGUGGUGAAUCGAGGAUUGGAGCAAUAUUUAUGAGCUUUCACUCAAGCCAAACCACAGAAGCGGGUUUCCUUACGGAGUUGGGCAGAAUUUAGUUAUAAUUCUCAUUUCCACAGUGGCUUGAAGAUGUCGCCCUAUCAAGCUUUAUUUGGCCGAUUGCCUCCAACUAUUCCUCAUUAUGCUAAGGGCUCUACUUCAAUCCAAGCUUUGGAGGACAUUCUCCUUGAACGUAAUACUCUUCUCCAGUCUUUAAAAGCUAAUUUGAGGCAGGCACAACAUCGAAUGGCUCAGAAAGCUAAUGCCCAUCGCCGUGAAGCUCACUUUGAAGUAGGGGAUAAAGUGCUGGUUAAAUUACAGCCAUAUAGACAGACCACUAUAGCUUCUCGCGCCUGUCAGAAGUUGGCCAAGCGAUGCUACAGGCCAUUUACGGUACUUGCUAGAGUGGGGUCUGUAGCUUACAAAUUGGAGUUACCCAGUACUUCCAAAAUCCACUCGGUUUUUCACAUCUCUGUCCAUAAGCCUUAUCAUGGCAACGACCCUGCUAUUUCACAUCCUUUACCAGAGUUGAGUGUGGAUAACCAUCCUCUUUUGCUACCGGCUGCCAUUUGUGCAACCCGAAUAGUGUUGCAACAGGGGAAGCCAACGCCUCAAGUGUUAGUUCAAUGGACCGACAGUUCACCGGAGAAUUCGUCUUGGGAAAACUUUGACGCCUUUUGUAAGCUCUAUCUAGCAUUUCACCUUGAGGACAAGGUGUGUUUUCCAGAGGGAGGGAAUGAUACGGAUUUAUAUAUCAAAUUGGAGCCAUCAGAGGAGGCGUAAGUGGAAGAGCUCAACCAAGAACCCACAGUCAGUCAACCCAAAGAGGACAUUCACCAUGAGCCAGUGCAAGAGAAUCAACGGCCCAAACGAAACAAGAAACUUCCAGACUGGCUACGAGACUACGUCGUUUAGGAUGAUUUGUAAAAGCAUUGUGAUUGGCUGCGUUUGUUUUGGAUUCUUUUUUGUCAUUUUCUGUUGCGUUGUCAAAUUGGUUAUUUUCGAUUGUCUGUUAUAUAUUGCGGGAUUUUGUCAUUUUGGGAAGGCAUGAAAUGAAUGGACCACUUUUCUUCCUCUCUGUGACUCUUCUUCUUUUCUUCUUUCUCAUUUCUCAACUUCCAGUUCUUUCCUCUGGAGCAAACACUCGCUCGAAGUAGUGAUAAUUUUGAUAUUGCUCAGUUUCACGAAUUAAGAGCGUAUCAGACACUUCGAAGUCUUUGUUGAGACAAAAAUUAGAUAGAAAACACUUUAUGGUGUCAUUAUUAUUUAGGCUGCUGCGUACUAUCGAAUCAAUCAUAGAGAAUAGAUGUUUACAUGAAAUUAGAUAAAUAAUUAGAGGUUGAAGUUAUUGGAUAAAAAGGAAAAAAAACUUACAUCAAAUUCGAUCCACGCUAAUCAAAUUCCAUAUGGAUAUAGUUGAAUGCCAUACUGCUCCUUAUCCUCGAAUUCCCGUAGCUGUUGUCUCAGCUCCGGCUCAGGCCACCACAACUCCAAUUUGUUUAAGCUCUUUAGGCACCAAAGCUGUUCAGGAAUCCUUUUCAAGUGAGCACAAGGGUUGAUGAUCAAGCAUUCUAGUUUCGGCAUGGCUCUAAUCCCCAUAGUCCAUUCCUCUAGCCAUAGCAUUGAUUUAAGGUGCAGCACCUUGAGUUUUGGAAAGCCAUCAGAGCUACAAGCCAGCUUUCUACCUGAAUACGAGUUUUGCUUCAGUUUGAGCACCUGAAGAACCGGCAGCUUUUCUUGUGCCGACAUGGGAUAAUCCAUUAGCUCAAUAUUUGAAAAACUCAAGUGGGUUAGACUCGGAGGAAAUUGGUAUUCAGCAAGGAUGAUAUUUGAUCGCCGUGGAAUCUUGCUUUCAUUCGCCAACUUCAAUGACUCGAGGCAGCUCAAUCUAUAGAGACUUUUGGACAUCAAAGAUUGAUAAUAACUUAAAUCUCCCCAUAUCCGGAGAUUUCGAAGAUUAGGUAGUCUGCCUAAUAUAUCUUCAGUACAGCAUUAAUGAUGCAAUGCUGAAAUGAAAUCGAAAUUUUCCAGAGAGCCGCAAUAUUUUCCUGGAUGUGCAAGAAGUGUGAUUGAGCCAAAAUUUAGAUACCUCAGUUUGCUCAUCUUCCAAAAUUCAUCUGCUGUAUGAUCUAUGUAGCUAAAGGGCAUGUCUAGGGUGUAUAGGUUCAAAAGACUGUUUAAUAACGAUGAAGGCAGGCUUUUCAGGGAAGGGAUAUUCAAGUUCAGAUAUCUCAAAAGAAAUAAAUUUUUUAUUUCGGAAGGAUAUCAGAUGCGAACAAGAGAUCCCAAGUUCAAUACUCUGAGAAAUUUGAACAUUUUACAGAUUUUCUCGCAAUAAGUGGGGUCAAGGUAGUGGCUUCCUGAAGUGAGGUGCAACAAAGAAUAGAGGAACGAGUCAAAAUGAUCUAAAAAUGCAAAAUCAUUCAAAUUUCCAUGAGCGGUGAAGCGUUUCACAUUUUCCCGUAAUUUAACUUCCUGAUCCAUAAUUGGGGAAAUGACAAAUUCCCCCUCGAAAGCCACAGUCAACAACGCAGGACUGCAACGCCCAGGAAUAGAGCAUGUGUUGAUUCUGCCUCUGUCACUUCUCUUCCCUGCAUCAACAAAGCCUCCAUUGAUUAGCUGUUCUAAGUAUCUCUCAGCAGUUGCCUCGUUGUUGACUGGAAUGAAAUCUUCAGCUAUCCACAACUAACAUAAUUGCUUGGUGGAUAUCUCAAAAGUGUGCGGGAAACACAGAUAAGUAGAGACAACAAAGUUUCAAGUAAAAAGGUAACAUACAAUAUGCAACGACUUGAAUCCCUCGGGGUUCAUCAAGUGCUUUCUCUAUAUUUUCUUUCAGUGAGAUGCUUCCAUGAUAUAAGAUGUGGAAAGGCCAUCCUUGGUAUGUAACUCUCAAUGGUCCUCCAGUGGGCACAAAUCAAGCCCAAUGUUCUCUCCAUUUUCGAACUGAAAUGAGGCGACGAUUUCAAUGUCAGAAAAAAUAAUCACAGUGAGUUAAACAAAUAAACCAGUAGGUAAUUUGACUGCAGCAAAACAGCAACUGAAGAAAAUAAACUCGAGGCCUAUAAUACAGUGUCCUUAAAACAGAUUUAUCACCUAUUGAAGUGCUUUAGGUUUCUUGAUAACUGUUUCCCAGGAUACAACGGGCACGAAUUUUCUUUCAAGCACAGACAGAUAAUUCCCGCGAACCACAACAACGGUAAACUCGAUCAGAAAACAAGACAAAAGAAGGAGGAAAGAAAAAUUGUAAGUGUUCUGUGUGCUGGUUUCAGUGUGUGUAAAAACAGAAGAGGAAGGUGCCUUUUUAUACUCAUGUGGGUACGUAACAAUAGCAUAAAAAUUGAAUUUCGGAAUUCAAUAUAUGCAAUUUAAUUGCUGUAACAGCCAUUGAAUUUUAAACAAUUCAAUUCAAAAAUUGAAUUGCAUAACAGCCCAAAAUAAUUGCGAAGCUGUUACAAAUCUUUUGAAUUCAAAAGGUGUGAAACUGUUACAACAAAUUUAAAAGGAAAUAAAAAACGUGCCAUGCGAGCUUGGGCUGACAUUCGCGGGCACACACGAGUUCAACCAAAUCAGUCAUGAAUUCGCCCCCCCCCCCCCCCGGUGCACGCGUGUGGGGAGAGAGCCUCUAUCCUUAAAAUUCUUGUUCAUGCAUGGUUAAGUAUUUAUAUAUAAAUACUAAUCCCUUGGCUUCUUCAAUGAGGAUAACAAAGCCUCCAUUAAUUAGCUGUUCUAAGUAUUUCUCAGUAGUUGCCUCAUUUUUUUCUGGAAUGAAACCUUCGGCUAUCCACAAUUGAUAUAAUUGCUUGGUGGAUAUCUCAAAGUGUACGGGAAACAUAGAUAAGUAGAGACAACAAAGUUUCAAGUAAAAAGGUCACGUACAAUAUGCAACGACUUGAAGCCCCCGGGGUUCAUCAAGUGCUUCCUCUAUAUUUUCUUUUAGUGAUAUGCUUUCAUGAUAUAAGAUGUGGAAAGGCCAUCCUUGGUAUGUAACUCUCAAUGGUCCUCCAGUGGGCACAAAAUCAAGCCCAAUGUUCUCUCCAUUUUCGAACUGAAAUGAGG